rnacentral:lncRNA from 1 species
AAGGACCAAAUCUGAUAUAAAAAUCAAAUGUGAAUGGAUGAAAUUAAAAAGAAAAUUAACUCAAUAAAUGACUUAAGACCAAUACAUUGCAAUGAAAAAAAAUGAGGAUCUAAUUUGUAUAAACAAAAAAAUAACCAGAUUUCUUUGCUUUUUUUUUUUUUUUUGCAAUGACCAACAUGUUAUUUCUAGGAGGGGAGAAAGGAAAGAGGUAGGGAAGAAAAAACACGUUGUUUGAGCUCAACCGCCAGUCUGAUCACUGCACACUCCUCAUUACCUUGUCUCACCACCGUGACAGGGGCAAUGAGAUGCAUUGAAAGUCGUUUUUAACGCUGACUUUUAGAGUUUUUUUGGGGCCACAAACGCCACUCGAAAGGCGCAGGCGACACCUGCUAGCUACCACGACAGCCACUUUUGAAUUUAAAUAUAUUUUUAUAUAUUUUAAAAGACCUAAUUCGCCUGACUGCACAUGAGAAUAAGAAAAAAAAUCAUAACAAAAUAACUAAAGUGUCAUUGCAUUCAAAGCUAAGAAAGAUUAUUUUUUAGGGGCAUUUAAGUUAUUUCAUUUGACAAAAAUAAAUUUGAAAAACCCGAAAAGCCCCUUGAUCCAAAGAACAAGUUUUUUUUUUUCAUUUAACGGUGAUUAAGUAAUUACAAUAUGAAAAAAAGAUGUCAGAAUACUGAUUAACCCCCUCGUUUUCUAUAAUGACUAAUGAAUUAUAUAGAAAUGACUUUCCUACCCCUAAACCCAAGCUUUGUGAGCUUGUCAAUCAAGAGUAAAACAAUAAUUUUAUUGUAAGAAUCCAUUACAAAAUAUGAAUGUGAGUAUGUGAACAUAAGAUCUCUUUUAGUUUUUUUUUUAUAUAAUUUGUAAACCAUAAUCUCAUAAUACUAGCUUAAGAAUCACUCCAUAAUAGCAAAGAUGCUACUCUGUAACCCUACAUCUACUAUUCUUCUGUAUCAAUGAAAAUUACAAACCAAAAAAAUACAAUAUUUUCUCAUAGUAAGACUUUUAUUGGUAGAUUUUUUUUUCAUUUCUUCAAGAAUUAUAAAUGAUGUUUUGCUAUUGUCGAUUCUAAAAGAAACAAAAACUAAGCAAAAAAAGUCUUGAUAUCCUUGAAUAUCAAAAGCAUGAAGUCUUUGAAUUGUGAAACACUUAAAAAUAUUUUAAAGAUAGAUCAAAGGAUAUCUUUUGUUAAAAAAAUUAUAUAAAUCAUAUUUUAGGAUCUUACCUAAUAACUUAAACUUCUGGGUUGAGAUGAUUUUUUGAUAUGGUAUUAAAAUCUUAAUGAUUAAACAAUCACGAGUUCGAAUCUCAACACCUCUAUUCUCUUAAAUAAUUGUAUAAAAUAGCGUGAACAUGUACAAGUUUCAAGUCUAAAAUGCUUUCACUUAAGAGAGUAUGUUAGAGAAUUAUAUAAAUCAUAUCGUGACCUCUUGAUCAACAAGACUCUGAUACCAUGUCAAAGAAUCAUAUUAACCUAAUAACUUAAGCUGUUAGGUGAAGUCUCAAGAUACGAUUUAUAUUAUUCUCUAACAUAUUUAACAUUUUAUUUUAUUUUUUAUUAGUGAUUGUUUUUUGUACGUUAAAUAGAUUGUUUAUAUAUAUAAAAAAAAACAACCACACAUCAUCACAUCUUAUCCUAGACACCCUCUAAAUCUUCUCUCAAAGCAUUUUAAAAGAAACACCUUUUAUAUCAGCCUAGUAAAGAAUACUCGUAAGUGUUGACAUCGAAGUCUAAAUCUAUAAAAUAAAGAAAAAUAACAUUUCUACUUAAACACCAGACCAAUCUUUUGAGGUUAAUUAAGAGUGUUUUGAGUAGAAGCUUGAAGUAGUCUUACUAUUGUUCUUUUUAUCCUUUCAAAACUAAUAAAGCACCUUUUCGGCAUGUUUUCAUGCAUAGAUGAAGUCUAUAAUAUUGCUUUAUGUGCAUUAUUGACUUAAGGUGAUUUAACCUAAUCUCACAACUUUCACUUGAUCAGAGUUAAAAUGAUGUAUAAAUUCAAAUUAAUCAAAAUAACAAAUAACAUAUGAAAUCGAGGCUUCAUGCAUGCUUUAGUUCAUUAAGUACAGAGGAAUAUGAAAGAGAAAAGUUUAGACUUAUAUUCAUUGCAUUGAAAUAGACAUGGUUCUGCAUCAUCUUUAAUGUUCCAAAAGGUAACUAAGAAGAAUAAAGAAGUAACUCUUAGCUUACUAAUUGUUUAUAAGUUCAAGUCUACAUCCUAUAAAAUAGUUACUACCUGCAAACCACAACCUACGUUUCCGUAGCGCCUAUAAACUUAGUUUAUACUUCACAUUCUUGUCAAAAACGAAACAUAUCUUCUCAAAUGAAAACUUUUUGAACUUAAAACUUGCAUAGGCACACAUUAUCUUGUAUUUAAUUUUUAUCAAAUAAAUAGGGAUGGUGAUAUUCAAACUCGUGACCGUUUGGUCAUCAAGGCUCUGAUACUAUAUCAAAGAACCAAUUCAACUCAAAAGAUUAAGCUAUUAGGUGAAAUCUUAAAAUAUUAUUUAUAUUAUUCUCUAACAAUUUUACGAUAAGAUUUCAAUAUGUUUGAAAUUUGAGAGGGUUACACUGAAUGCAAUUGUAAUUUACCAGUUUGAGUUAUUGAUUGUUUGUUGUUGACGACUCUAUUUUCAUUUUCCUCGUAGCCUUUAUAUUCUCAUGCUUUAAAAAAAAUUAUUUUUUUAUUUGAAAUUUAUUUUUUUAAUGUUUUUGAAUCAUUUUAAUUUUAAAAAUAAAUUUUAUAAAAUAAAUUUUAAUAAAAAAAUAUUUUAAAAAAUAACCAUUAAUUUCAAACAGUCUUGUGUUGUGUUCUCUUACCCAUGUACACGAUGAAUCUUCGGGUGGACAUGUUCUCUCCCAAUCGUGCACUUUCCAAAGUCCAAGCAGGAGCUACUUCUCGUUAAAUAUGUGAGCUGGGCCCUUUUAUUUUUAUUUUUGGUCGACAGUAAAUUAAUUCCCAGUGGGCUGGGUCUAAUAUCUUGAACUAAUUUACAACUGGGUCAAUCGAUUAACCAAGUCAGUGUACAACGGUGUAAUAUAUUAUUUAUUUCGAGGCUCUCGUGGCAAAGUUCAUGCUUCCGAAACUACAACAAAAUUCUCAAAUAGGUCCCUCAACAAAAAUAAUUCCUAAUCAGGUACUCAAAUAAUCUCCGCUGUUAAUUUAUUUCACAAAUAUAACGUGAUUUCAAGAUAAAUAGGGCUUCGGCUCUUGUGAUCUUAGAAGCAAAAUAUUUAAAAGUGGCAUUAAUUGGGUAAUGAUUAUUAAUAGAUCGGGGACUCGAAUGGGAAAGGUUUUUAUAUGGAGACUCUAUUGACAUCUUGUUGAUAGCUCAGGGAGCAAAUUCAUGUAUUGCCCUUUUCAAAAUUAAGUUUUAAUUCAAAGAGUUGUCUAUGAUUAUAAACAAGAUUCCAAUUAAAAAAAUAAAAAAUACUAAGAUUUGCUAAUCAGAUUUAAUUUUUAAUUCAAAGAGUUGUCUAUGAUACUAAACAAGAUUCCAAUAAAAAAAAAUUAAUAAAAAAAUAAGAUUUGCUAUUCACGUUUAAUUUUUAAUUAACCCUUUUCUUAGACGGAGCUAGGAAAUGCACAAACCUCAAAUUAUGAUGAGAUUAGUCUAUGCGCUCUUGCUCUUACUUUCAAUUCAUCAAAUAUUACAUAUUAAUCACUAGUGAGCUGUGAGAAGAAUGAUGUAUAAAUCCAUUUACUCUUUUUAAGUUUAACCUAAUCUUCUUUUUUAGUUAGAUGUAGUUUGGAAUUACGUUUCAAAUCACAUUUCAUGAAAAAAUAUUUUUUUAUUUAAAAUUAUUUUUAUAUAUUUUUGGAUUGUUUAACGUGCUGAUAAUAAAAAUAAUUUUUUAAAGAUAAAAUAAAAAUUGUUAUGAUGUAUUUUCAUACGAAAAAUAUUUUAAAAAUUAAUUAUUAUUAGACUCUCCUCUUUAAUCAUUGUUUUUGUCAAAGUUUUAUCUUCAUGUUUUUCCAUCCUAAAAAACAAAAAGGUUGGAAAGCAAAUCUUUGUGCUGAUUGAAUGAUAGGGAACUGUGUUUUCUCUUUAGACAAGAACAUUUAUUCUUAUGUUCAUGCAUUUGAGAUUGAUUUAAUUUUCUUUUAAAAGACACAAAAAUGCUUUGUUUUUAAAAAAUGUGCUUUCCGUAAUUUUCUUGCUUUAGGACUUUAAUCCUUUCUUCCAAUACAAAAUAAAAAUAAAUAAGAGUAUUAUAUUCACUCCUCCCACUAUUAUUGCCACUCCAUGAUUUAUUAAAAUGGUUAAAUCAGUUUUUUAUUUAAAUAAAUCAACUUAACACAAUUAUUUGGUAAAGUUUAUGUUUUUUUUUUAACGCGGGUGUCCGGACCAGUUUAUGUAUAUCUCGACUAAUCUCAUGAGGUUCUGAAGUUAAUGACCAUAUAAACCUCCAAAAACCCUGAGAUUUGUGAUAUUUAAACUGAUAAUUUUUAAAAAAUAAAUUUAAAAUCUGACUAAUUGAACUAAACUAGUUAUAAAGGUUAUAUUUCUUUCUUUUCUUCUUCGUGGAGUAAAGAGUAUAUUUCCCAGCAAAACGGAUUAAUAGAAAAGAAAAAAAUAUAUAAAAAAAAGAAGAAGAAUAUCUCACAUUUUAGAAGACCGUUACAAGUCUCGUAAAACGAAUCCAUCAUCCCUCGCAAUGCUCUAACACUCACAUCUUAAAAUUAACCGUUGCAAAACCUUGCCAGUUGCCACGCUCCUAUUCUUAAAUCACCGACCAAGGGCAUUCUUGUCAAUAACAGACUUAUUCAAAAACUUUCCCAAUUCGACCGUUGCGUUGAAAUACUUCAAAGGCCUACCGUUUCAAAAUCAAAGUCACCAUUACUGUAUCUCUCUCUCCAAAACCUCAAAUCUCUCGCUCUCUCUCUCUCUCUACAAAUACAUAUCCAUGGCAGAUCAAAGCGCAAACCCGUCGUCAAUAAUGGAGCCAAAGCAACAACACCCACUUCACCAAAUUGCAGAAACACCGACGCACAAGCUUCUUUUAAAACAAUGGUUAAAAGAAGAAGAACUGAUCUUCAACAGAAUCUCUCUCAAAGAAACACAAAUCGACUCAGUCUGUAAAGAAAUCACUCAACUUUACAUAUUCUUCUUCCUUUUCCACUCCAUUUCUUUGCUUCUUCUCUUCAACGCAUCCUCGAAAGACCCUUUUGGAGCUAAAGGGUCAGAAGCUUGCAAGAGAUCAUGGAUCCCUUCAUUGUGCUCUCUUCUAUGUUCUUUAGGGAUUAUUUGGGCUGUUAGAUAUAAAACUGAUGUUGAAUGCCAUUUAGAGAAGCUGUUAGAGAGAGAGAAAGAAGAUGGUCAGUUGCUGGCUAAGUGUGUUGAGGAGUUGAAGAAGAAAGGAGGGGAGUUUGAUCUCUUGAAAGAAGUUGAUGCACUUCGAAGAGCUAAGAGUUUGAGAGUUGAAACAAAGGUUGUAAGGAAAUGGUCUGCUAGGGAUUUUGUUACUUUGUUUUUCUUUAGUGUGUCUUGUCUUGUUCUGGGGUUGACAAGGAUUAUUUUGUGUAAUUGAUCGGAUUGGAUUCAAAAUGGGGUUUUUUUUAUGUAAUUUGGUUUUUCAUGGCAGAAGACUCUUUGUUUCUGUCAUUGAAUUGGAUGGGGAGCUAUGAAACUAAUUUGUUUCUGUAAUUUGGGAAAAUUUUAUUUGAAAGAAUUAAUGUUGAAACAAGUACGAAUCUCUUGCUCUUUGAUGAUUCUAAUUUGUGAUUUGUUUAAUGACUUUUGGCAAAUGAAAUACUGAAGUUUGAAUUGCAGAGCCCAUCUGUUUUCUUUUGUUCUUCUUAUUUUUAAGGCUUAAUGCAGCUGCUGUUUACCUAGCUGGGAGUGUCGGUAGAUUAUAGAUAAAAACGGUUCCAUCUGUUUUAUUCAUGAAAUUAAGAAUACUAAUUGAAACUGUUUUUUUCCUUUCCCUUUUCUCUAGUUUGAGACACAGCCACACCGAAUAAGUCAAUAACAGUGACCAGAAUGGAUAGCUGCAAAGGCUUAGAUGCAAAUCAGCUCUCUUCUCUUCAUGGGUGAAGAAAGGUAUAGAUAUCCACCGCAUGAAGAGUUUUCAAAUACUUCAGUCGACACCACCUCUUAUUUGCUAGGGCUUCUUUAUGGAUUUCAUGUUACGUUCCAUGAGGGACAAUGGUUUUCCUCUACACAAUAGCAGCAGAAACAGAGUCCGGUUUCAUAGUACAUGCAGUUAAAACAUCCUACCAAAAUUCAGAAAAAUUUCAACUUCCUUGCCCAUUUACCAUUCCAGACAGAAUUAUUAUUCUUUAGCCUAGAUGGCAUUCAACAUCAAAAGGAAACAUAGAGAUCAACUAUGCUAAUGACAAUAGUAUCUUGCACAUCUCCUAAACACAUCUCAUAAAACUGAAGAAAUCAGAAUCAAAUCACUCCUUUAGGAACUUGCUGGAUCUGGACGGGCUGAAAAAUACGUGUAGCUAAAAUAAGGAUCGCCGCCUCCUCUUUACAUAUCAAUGAUAAUGUUAUAGCUGUUUCAAGAAAUUCCAUUUCACCAGUAACAAGAUUUAAGACUCCAACCUAUCUUUACAUGCAUCAAGAAAAAACAGUAAAAAUACAAAAAGGAAAACUCAUUUUAAACAGUGGUCGUUGUGUGUCUUGUAAUUAUGUACAUGAUUGCACAAAUCCAUUAAUAGAACAGGUAUGUGAACUUUCAGAACAAGCCUUAAGAAAAAAAAUGUACUGGCACUGAUACAAGAAAAUCGUCAUCUGCCCUGUCCGAUAAUGUUAUUGAGCAUGGGAUCGGUGGUGUUUGGUGUGAAAUUCUGUGUUGUUCUCAAUGCUGGUGCUUGUAGAUGAAUUGUAGUGGCUAGUAUCAGAUGUUCUCGUUGCACCAUCAUUCAUAAAGCUGCUUGUAUCAUCAAAUUUCCAGUAAUUCAAGUAUAUCCAGUUUUUGACGUUACACUACUCACUUCGAUAUCACCAGAUAGCAUAGCAACGACACACGACAUUGAUGGCCGUAGCAUAGGUGAAGUUUGAGUACAUAAAAUGCUUUGAGUAAAUAAAAAGCAACUGCUAUCAAACGUUUUACUUCUUCCUCAUUAGAUUCAGAUAAUCUGGAGUCUACUAGCUCAACUUCACGGUUGUUUUCAUGUAGGUGCCAGGCCUGAAAAGAAAGUAACCACUUAUAUUGAUGAAAAGCAAUUGAUUUGAUAUAAACUGGCCAGAGUGAAAUGUGGCAAAACUUUUGCAGUAAGUGGGUUACAAGUGUCAUAUAACAUACCCAUUCAAGAAGGUAUAUCCUUUCCAUUUCCAAGCUCGAGUCCGAACUUGGCCUUCUGCUUAUGAUUUCCAGAGCCACAACACCAAAUUCAAAUACAUCAGCUUUUCUGUCAGGUGUCCAUGCAUCGCAUGCUCCGGAGCAAGAGAUCCACUAAAUUAGUACUGACAGGGUCAAUAACACUAGUACAUAUGGUUGCACAGUCAAUGCUUCUAGACAUGAUUUGGGUAGAAGGAUGAUUGCUUAAAUUUAAAGAAAUUUAAGGGUUUUGCAGUUCAAGAUCUCACAUUGUUCCUGCAACACGGGUGCUUAUACGGGUCUUCUUAUCAUUGUAAAGUUUGGCUAAACCAAAAUCUGAAGUUUUUGGAAUGAGAUCAGAAUCAAGCAGAUAUUACUGGCCUUCAUAUCUCUAUGAACAAUUCGAAUCCUUGACUCCUCAUGCAGAUAAGCUAGACUUCUUGCUACUUGCAAGCAUAUAUCAUAGCCUGUUGGCCAGUCAAGAUUCAAACCUCCUUCUCCUGCAUUGUGUAAGUACCAAAUACUAACUUCCUUCUCCCAAGCAUAUAUAAUAUUUAUGUUUCCGCUGCAUUCUCUAUAACAGUGGAUGCGUAUCUAGCAAAUAACGUACCAAAGAGUGCAAUUCACCCACAUCCACAUCUUCUAUAGCCUCAAAGUUUCUUGUUUAUGCUUAAUAUAUUACAAAAGAGUUUGAGUGUGUUUUUAAUUUGUUUUUUUUUAGAGUUUUUACAACUUUAUAAAAAAUCAUUUCUAAUUAGUAACAUACCAAAAAGUGCAACUCACCCGAAUAUUUUAUAGCCUCAAAGUUUGUUGUCUCUUCUUAAUAUAUUACCAAAGAGUUCUAGUAUGUUAUUGAUAUCUUUUUUGAGAGUUUUUACAACUUUUUAAAAAAUUAUUUCUAAUUAGUAAAAUUUAGUAGUUAAAAACUGGAAUUCAUUUUGAGAGUUAAGAAGUUUUUAUAGUUUGGUUUUAAACAUUUUAAUAUACUAAAAUUAAUUGAUAUUUAUAUAGAAUAUGAAUACGUUGAAGGUGUUUUAAUUAUAAAGAACUCAUGGUGAAUAGUGAUCUCUGUCUAUGAAUAAUGAAUUUGCCUUGUGUUUUAGCUUUUUUAAAAAAACAAUUAAUUAAUUAAUUACAGUAGUAGUAUUGUUAUUUCAAAUCUUUUAGUUAGAUAAUAUAUACUAGCAUUGGUGUGUGCACUUCACCGUUGGGCAGGGCUAUAUUCUUUUUGUACAAAAAAUGAUGUUUAGAAUAAGAAACCUGAUUAUGAAAAACAUGUAACCCGAUCAAUGCAACUGGGACAUCCAGGCAAACUCGUUAUUCUAAACAUAAGAUUCGAAUAUUUUAAUAAAAAAAUAAAAAGUACUAUAAAGUUUUUUUUUUAAAAAAUCAUGUUAACGUUUUAAACUUAUGAACCGAGUCAUUAGAUCCAAAACAUUUAAUUCAGAAAAACAUUCAGAAAAACCAUGAAGUUUAAUUACCAGUUAAUUAAAUAUUGAAAGAUAAAAUUGAAAAAAAAUAUCUUAAUUAUACAAAAGGAUUUAAAAAUACAAAUAAAAAGAAUAAGGAUCAAAAUUAAAAUAUAAAAUAAAUCUAAUUUUUAAUUGAUGGGUGAAAUUGAGAAAACCAUCAAUUUCAUCAAAGGAUAAUUUUUUUAAAAAGAAUACGGAUCAAAAUUAACAUAAAAAUAAAAACAAUGUUUAAUUAAAGAGUGAAAUAGAAAAGAGUAAUAAGUUUUACAAAAGGGCCAAUAAAGAAAUUAGAAAUAAAAAUAAUAAGGAUCAAAUUGGAAAACAUAAUACCAUUAAUUUGAAUUGAAAGAUUAAAUUAAAAACCACUAAAACUUUUAAAAAAGAGCCAACAAAAAAAUUCGAAAUCUAAAGAAUGAGUACCACAUAGAAGAAUAUAAUUUUUGAUAAAUUGAGAUUGAAUGAUGAAAUCGAAAACCGAUAAAAUUUCUACGAAAGGGUCGAGACCAAAAAAUAAAAAUUAAAAAAGCAAGGACUGAAGUUGAACCAAACUGUAAUUUUUUAAGGGAGGGAGAGAGAAGAAGAGGAAAAAAAAGGCUCACCGGUGCAAAAUCAGACCACCAAUGGAGACACUUGUGGCUCCAUUAGGAAAAGAAUAUGACAACACUUCCAACGACACGAUGAAAAGAUACUUUUGGAUUCUAGAAGGCAUCGCACACACCGUUUGAAAGGCACAAGCGCCUCCCAUCCACCAACGAGUGCUAUACAUGUGCAUCCAUUUUUUUUUAAAUAACAAAAUACAGAAUUUCCAUUGAGUUGAAUUUGUAGUUAUAAAAAAACCAAUGUGAAAAGCCAACAAAAACCCCUUGAUCUCUUGCUUAUUUUUUAAGGGUAUUUUUGUAAUUUCAUGGUGCAUUUUAAUUAUUUAUUACCUUUUGUAUUUGUGCAAAUACCAAAAUGCAUCUUAGCUUAAAUUAUAAUAGUUAAAAAAACCAUUUUGUACAAAAAUACACCUUGAUGUCAAGUUUAAUUUUUUCUUCCAAAAAUAUUUGAGUCAUUUCAUUGUGCAAUUAAAAAGAAAAAAUAUUUAUUUGUCCCGACUAUAUUUGAUAAUGACAAAUAGACCACAUCAAAAGACUUCAAUGCACUUAAAAACCCUUGUUAAAUUUCUUGGGUGAAAGAAAAAAAAAACAUGAGAUUAUUCCAAUGAACACUCAUAGAAAUACUCUCAAUUCCUUUCCUUUUUUCAUUCUACCAACUUAGAAAAAUAUGUUUGCUAAUAGAGAAAACAAGAGGAAUUGGGAUGAUUUUUAUGAUUUUCUUUUUCAAUUUUCCAGGACAACCCUAAUAAAGGGAGGCAUUGAAAAAACAUGAUGUUUAGGGUGCAAAAUAAGAGUUUUUUAGUUUAGAAAAGUAUUUGUUUUUUUUUUCCACUUAAAUGCAAUGGGGUUCUUACAAUUUGGCCCAAGAAAUAAGUAGCUCAACCAUUAUCAGAGAUUUGAGUUGUAAAGGAUGGACUAUUAGCCAAUGAGAAUGGGAUUAUUAUUGAGUAAGGCAAGUCUUUGGAGUUGCAUAAACAUUUAAAAUUAAUCAAAUGCUUCCGAAACUGAUAUUGAUAGCAACAUCACCAAUAACCUUCACUCUAAAUUUAAUUUGUUGUGAGUUGUCAAUCAAUAUUACAUAUGAAAAUAGUGUUUAUAUAUAUAUAUAUAUAUGGAUACAGCAUGCACGAGCAAUGCCCUAAAGCGUCAAUGCGUUCGAAACCUGCAAUUAAUUCCUGGUAAUGAUUUAGAGAUUAUUAUCUGAUUUUUAAUAUGGUAACUAAUGUGAGAAGAUAUAUAGCAACUAGAUUUGUUCACGCAAUUAGUUAAAAUUUUGAGAAAAAAUAUUUUAAAAUGAAAUAAUAAACCUAGCUUAUGAUUAGAAUACCAAACGAGAUUAUUUUCACCUUUUAAAAAUGAUGUGAGGAUACCCAGAUUAGAAAAAAUAAAUUGUGAUCAGAAGGGGUAAAAAAACGAGAUUAUACGUCUUAAGGAUCAGCUGAUCAGCCGGCCAUAUAUUACAUAUCUUUGAUUAAUGAUGCCAUUAAUAAGUAUUUCUUUAGUGCUUAUUAAAACCCACAAUUCCAAAAGAUAUUAUUGGACCACAAAUAUUUCCAAGCCAGCUAAAGGCAUACACUGGACCACUGCCUUGACUAUCAAUUUAGCGACAUAUUGCAACAGCAGCCCACCACCUUCCUGCCAAAAAAUCUCACCUUUUUUUUCUUGACAAAACCACGCACUCAAAGAUGCUUCUUCUAUUACUCUCACAUGACCAAAAGCAAUCCCCUUCUACAAAUACAAGCUCCAAUGACAUGGCGCUGCUGAACUGUCACUUGGAUGUCUAGGUGGCUGAGCCACAUGGCAGUCAGUUUUCCAAAAUGUUUUUGGAGAAAUUCAAAAUAAUUGGCCUUCAAGUGCCUUUUCUGGGCGUACGAUCAUAACAAAAUUUCAUGAACUAGUUUUAAUAUUUUGAGUAUAAGUUCAUAUAUAACCGAUAUUUAGAUUAGAUAUUCAAAACAUCUGGUGAUUAUAUGAUAAUGUUUAACAUAUGAGGUUUUGCAAUAAUUUGUUAAACCGAAUGCUUCGAUUUAUGUAUCUAAUCUGAAGCUGUUCUUCGAAAGUUUUUCUUCAUUCUUUUUACAUUUUUUAGCAAUUUAGUAAAAAGCAUUGCCUUUACUCUUAACACAAAGGCCUCAAAAAGCCCCACAAUUGGGCAAUACCGCCUGUCAUAGGCAUGAGGCCAUGCACACAGCACAACCCUUUAUCCUUUCGUCCACAAUCCUCACGUGGUUGACUUGUGUCCAAAUGAGUCCACCACUUUCUCUUCACUAGUUCCUCCUCUAUAUAAGCACAACCUCUCUUCCACAUCUAAGGCACAGCAAAACCAAUAUUUCUUUCUUCGUAGUCCGAAUCCCUUUCUUCUCUCCAAAUUCAGUACAUUGAAAAAUGAGUCCCUUGUCGAAGACCAUUAUUGCCUUUUGUACCAUUCACCGUCAUGCAGAUGGAGACGAUGAUGGUGAGUAUGGAUAUGAUUAUGCACCAGCAGCAUGCAUGGAAGGUGACGGAGAUGAUGAUGAUAGUGAUUAUGACUAUGCUCCUGCAGCGCCCAUGGAGGGUGACGAUGACGAUGAUGGAGACUACGAUUAUGCUCCUGCUGCCUAGUUAAUUAUAGAAUUAUAUUUAGCUCAUAAUAAAUCACAGUACUAAACUUUGUUAGCUUGCUCCAUGCACUAAUAUUUGUAUGGCUUAAUGCCCUAAAGUUUUUGUAGGUUAUCGUGACUACAUUAAUUAAAGCUCUUAAUUAUGUUACCCAAAGCUUUUUUUUCUCUUUAUUUUAAUGGCAUGUUCAAUUGAUUUUAGUUUUUUAGACGAUAAAUUCUUUCGAGAAACGCUUUGAAAUAAAGUUCCAAAUCUUAAGACUUCAAAACGAAAUGAAGGUGACCAUGAUGACUAGUGAUCCGGACUUGCUCGAUGAAAUCAUUCACUAUUCUCCCUUGAAUCCCAGUUGUUUCUCCUGUUUCAUUCAUCUUCUUCAAUAACAAUUUUGUCAAUAAAAAGUGACCUGAAAAGAUUCCAUCCAAAGUCUAUCCUAGAAGCACUAGGAUUUAACUUCAGGUUCUCUCUAGCUAGAUAUUUUCUUGUGAUGGUUAUUUUUGUCUUGCUACUUGCAGGUAUUCUUGUCUCGUUUAGACAGGCCUUCAUCCUGUUUACAAUAAAGGUGGUUCCAUUUCAUAUACUCACUCUCUCUAGGUUACUAGUUGUUUUCUUAUAUCGAAGGGAAAAUAGGUUAUGAAUCAGAAGAAGAAGAAUUGGAGAUAGUUGCAUAUCUAAAUGAAGAUGUCCAAGAGAAGGUAUCUUUCUGUCUUGUCGGCAUGGACUCAAAAAACCUUCAAUGCCCAAGCAACGCUUCAGACGAUGCUUUCGGUAUGGAAUACGAGGAAAGGAGUUAAAGCAACCACGUUUGGAAAGAAUAUGUUUGCAUUGUUAUAAUAUCUUGUAUGCCAAGUAGAUUAAAAAAAAAAAAAGGAACUUUUUCUCAUAUUAAAAAUGUAAGAGGUUUUGUUGUCAUUCAUCAAUCAAUGAGAUGACUUGAAAAGUCAUUUAUCCAACUGUGAUAGUGAAAAUAUAUUUUCCUUCUAACUCAUUCCAUUCUUACUUCUAUCUUUUCUUUUACUUUAAGUUUUUAUAAUUUCUAAAAACUACCAUGUUGAAAACCCCGAACUAGUUUUGUAAUUCUAAUCUAAAAAGAAAAUUUCAUUCUAGGUAUUUUUCACCAUAAGCUUCUUUUUCCUUUUCUACUUUAAACAGAAAUAUAAACCUUAAAAUUGUCAGAUCUAUCUCUAAAAAAAGGGAUGUAAUUGCCUUUAAAAAAGAGUUCAGGUUUCAACCUAAGAUGAAGAGGAGAAGUAGGUUAAAUAGGUCUAUCAUACUGGGCCUAGGAACUAAAAAGGGUGGAGUCCCAGCUUCCACCUUAGGUAGGGGGGAGUAGUUCUCCUAUUAUUGUCAGUGAACCUCAAGGGAGAGGAAGGUUGCCUCAGGUCCCUAAAGAUGAUACCCUAAGCACUUUAAGUGUGAAGGACAUUGAAUUCGUUAAUGCUUGGAGGGUAGGAGAGUACACAAAUCAAAUAUAUACAGAGGCUGAGCAUAUCAUCCAAACGACCUUGGGCUCUACUCAGAGUUAUUUUAAAAUUACAACACUUUUUACAUGUAUGCAAUGGGGUAAACCUUUUCUCUUCAAGGAUUUAUGAGAGACGUUUUUAGAUAUUAUUAGUUGGGUUUAGGCCAGCGGCAUUCUAAUAGGUGGAUAAUCUUAUCCAUCUUUGAAAAGUUUUUUAGGCUCAUUGGAAUUGAGCUUAUAGUUAGUAUCUUUAAGACUUGUUACCAUUUGGUUACUGGUACCGAUGAUGAUAAUGACAUGCCUUGGUUCUUUACCUUCGCCAACAGACCCACUAGAGCUAUGGAGGGAACCAUGUAAGGAAAACCUGCCUAUGUCAAAAAAUGAAGGGGAAGGUGGCUGAUAGUAAGAUGUAAUAGGCCAGUCAACCUAAAAAUAGGAUGCAACAAAUUUCUAGUUGCUCCUACUUUUGGAGGGUACCUCCCCUUAAUGUCAAUAAUAGACGUCAUCUGAGCUCUGAUUAGGAGAACAUAUAUGUUGUAUUGGAGUCGACCUUAACCAAGUAGGAAGUCAAUAGAAUGGCUAGAGGGCACUAAAAGGGCCCUGUUACAAAGAAUGCAGCUUCCUUACCCUUUUGGUUUUUAUUACAUCUAUGAUCACUGCUUACUUUAUUUUUAUGCAGGAUUGAUAGCUAAAGGAGAAUAAGAGACUUCAGCAAAGUCUGCAGAGAAGAAUUCACUAAGAGGAUCUUUAUCUAGUACCUUGAGUAGAGGUAAGACUAAAGAAGAGGUGAAGGGUCACACUAUUAUCAUUAAUGAGCUUUUUUUCCUUGAGGAAGCAAUGGUAGAAGCUAAAACUCAUGUGAAAACAAAAGUUAAGGGUAGCCAUACUCCCCUGUCUAGAAGUUAAACAAAUCUAACUUCUUUUAAAGUGAUUACAGAUAUUAUUCUUUGCUUUGAGAGGAAGAGAGUCUUCACCUUUAUGAAGAUCAAUGUUUCAGCCUUGACUGUAUUGGCUUUUAUGGUGGCAUUCUUUCUAUCUCAACUUCCAGCUUUGUUUAUAAAGGUUGUAGCAGUCAGGCCCUCUACUUGGGCUAUUAUUGAGGAAGCUGAGUUUGAGGAUGUUUUCGCCAACCUUGCUCUUAGUCGGGCUCCCUUCAAUGUCCCUACCUUGACUGAGGAGGUGAGGCAACUUAUGGAGACUAUUGUUGGUAAAAGGUCAGGCCUUCGAAAGGCUGGCCUUGAGGUGGUGAGACUAUUGGAGAGGAUUCUCACCAUUCCAUCAGACAUCUUAAUGAUGUUUGAUGAGAGCUACUACCAUUAUUUAGUUUUAACGAAUCAAAUAACCUUUAAUGUAAGGAACUUUCUCUUUUCACCUUUCAAUUUGUUCCUAUGACUAUUGUUCUUAACACUUAUUCUUAAUAGAGUUUCAUGAUAUGCGCUCAUUUCAAGAGGCGUUAAAUGGUUGAAAGGAUCCACGUAAGGGAAGCCAUUGCCACAUAAGACAAACCAGACUGCCUUCCAGCAGCUAAAUGAGGAAAAGGUUGUUGUGGAGGCCGAACUAAGGAGCCUCAAUAUGGUUUAUUCAUUGUUGAAGGGAAAAAAAUACAAGGCUUUGUUCUUUAGUUGGGCUCUAAUAAUAAAUUGCUUCAAGCCGCUUAUAACCAUAUGGAUACUCUGAAAUGGAAGAUCCUUAAGAUGAAUACCACCUAAGAUAGUAUGAGGGCUGAGCUUUUUGCUACUAGGAAAGAAGCUUGAAGUUCUCGAGCUCAACUUGAGGCUUUGGGGAAUUCUUCUGAAGAGUUCUAGGAAUUUUUUGAGUGGUUUGCAGCUUUAACCGAGAUUAUUGGGGACAAGAUCUUUCUUGCCAUGUCCAACCUGUGUUUAUUCAAUGAGUUAAUGGAAUAUAAAUGGACUUUAUUGUUUCCUUUCAUCAAGUCUCAGUGCCUGUUUUAUGGAUGUGUUCCCUGUCAAGAUUGUUGCUACCCAACAUGAGGAAUAUCUAGCUGAGGAGUUUGGGCUACAUAUCUAAGCCUUUUUUUCUCUUAUCCCUUUACUUGUGUACACAACAACCCCAGUUUAUCCGUGUAACAUAUAUUUUUUAUUUUAUAAAAUUUGAUUAUUUUCAUUUCAAUGUUAACUUGUGUGCAUGGAACUAAUGUUUAUAGUAAAAAUUCCAAAUAGGAUUGAAGGCCCUUAGGAAAAGUUUGAAAAUUUAUAUAGGUGCAAUGCCCAUAAUUAGAAAAAUAUUUAUCAAAUUUGAACUAUGAACUUUGUUUAACCUCAACGAUUUAGGAAGGAUUUAUCCCUUGUUUGGAACCGAGAGGAAAUCUUGGUUUUAGAUAUAUUCUUGUGAGCCUGGAUGAAUCUGUAGUAAAUUGUUAAAAAGCCUCCAGAAUGUGGGUGGAGAUUGAUUUUGUUAAAUUGAGAGGUUUCAAGUUUGAUCCAUUGGGGAGUUUAGGGUUAUAGUCCUUAAAAAGGCGAAGCAUUAUUACUGAGGCAAUCUAUCUCAUCCUUGGAAAAAUAUGCAAUCGCACUAGGUAGAUCACGCUCAUCCCUUCCAAGAUAGAUUAUGCAAUCACAUUAAGGAGGCUUUGAUCCUUUCUAAGGUAAGUUAUGUAAUCAUACUAGGAAGAUCGAGUUCAUCCUAUCAUUGGAAGGUUGUGAGGCUAUUGCCUAAGGGAGAUGUCGUGCCAAUCCUAUCCUUAAAGAAAUAUUGCAUUGCACUAGGGAAACCAUAUUUAUCCUUUCUGAGGUAAAUUAUGUAAUCGCUCUUGAGAGACUUCAAUCCCUUAGAUGGUAAGUUGUGCAAUUGCACUAAGGAUACGAAUUUUAUCUCGUUAUUGGAAGGUUAUGGGGCUGUUGUACUAGGGAGAUGUCGUGUCAAUCCCAUCAUUGGAGAAAUAUGCAGUCGCAUUAAGAAGACCAUGUAAAUCUCUUCCAAGAUAAAUCGUAUAACCGUAUAGAGGAGACUUUAAUCUCUUUCAAGGUAAGUUGUGUAAUUGCACUAAAUAAAUUGAGUCCAUCCUAUCCUUGGAAGGUUGUGGGGUUAUUGCCUUGGACAUAUGUCAUAUCAAUCUCAUUCUUGAAGAAAUGUGUAAUUGUAUUAGGGAGAUCAUGCCAAUCUCUUUCAAAGUAAAUUAUGCAAUCACACUAGGAAGCCUUUGAUCCCUUCGAAGGUAAGAUGUGCAAUUACACUAGAAAGACUGAAUCCAUCCCAUCUUUGGAAGGUUGUGGGGUUGUUGCCUUGGAUAUCAUCUAGAGAGAAAAAAAACAUUGUUACUUUGAAUAAUUUAAUUUAUAUGUAAGAAACUUACAUUCUUAGCCAUUGACUAUGGUAUAUCUUUAUUGCCCUUUGAAGUAUAAUCAAUUCGAUGAUAUUUCUAUUGAGAUCAUGGUCUCAGUUCUAAGUGAGGAGAAAAUAGAUUUUCUCCAGUAGAUGUUUUUUAGGUGGUUGCCAAAAAUACUUCUUAUUUUGUACAGUUUGAACCAACACUUCAUUUGGCCUUGUUGGAAACUUUUAAACUUUUAAAGUUCCAACAACAUUUAUGAAGUCGAUGAAGAUAUGUAGCCUAAAUUUGCUUAUCCCACUAAAUCCUCCAGCAAAUAGGGGAAAUCUUGUUGACUUGGACCAACAAUCAUGCUACAAAGCCCUUUAAUUCCUAUAAACAGCGUGCAUCCCAUAUACAUAGUAGACCAUGCGUUUUAAUCUAAUUUGGAACAUUAUUGGUCAUUAAAGUAUUAUUUCCUCAUGAUUAUAAGAAUGUACAUCAUCCUCUUAGUUGAGUGAUGUUAUAGCUUUUUGAGUUUUUCUUGGCUAAUAUAGAUAAAGGAUGUUGAAACGUAUGAUAUAGGUUGGUUCAAGGUUUUCAUAUCAGGCUCAUUGGGCCUGAUUGUCCCCUUAAACAACUAUCGUUAUUCUAAUGAGAAAUCGAUCAUGAUUGAAGAGUUAUUGAUGUUCUAAUAAAGUAAUCAUGCCAAUAGUUAUAAGGAUGCCUGUCAGAUGUUCCAUUUCAGGUGUGUUGUGAAUGUCCCUCAUUAAUAGUGAUUAGGGUUGUCAAAAACCAAUUCUAGAAAAAUAGUUAAUGGCUUUUUUAUUUUUCCCACAGACGGUGCUAAUUGAUAAUGUCCUAAAAGAUCCUACUAGCUUAGGAGUAAGGCUUAUAACUUGGAUAAUCCUUUAAUCUCUUGGUUCUAGCAAUCUAAUCCAUUCUCCCUAACCAUGGUGAUUAAUGGCUAAUACCUAGUAUUCAAUAAGCCAAGGUAGUUAAUAUUUGGUACCUGCAAAAGGUCCCUUUUUCUAAAUUUAAGAACUCUCCAAUGUUUAAGUAAAUAUAUUUUAAGAGAAAAGACAAUAAUAUUUUAGAGAGAGACUGUGAAAAAUAAAUAUGUUAUCAAGCAUGGAGAUUCAGAACCCCUUCUUUUAAGUGUUCAAUGGGUUUUUAUGGCCCAUGAUUCUUAUCUUUUUAUGUAGAUGAGGGCUUAAAAGUCAUAUUUCCCUCAUAGUAUUUAAUAUCUUUUAUAUGUCAAAGAGAGAAAAUAUAUAUGACUCAUCAUAAUCUCAUGGUCCAACAUGGAACCUAAUAAGAUUACUAGAGCCACAUGUACUUGGACUCAACACUUGAAUGAGCCUGAGGAUGUUCGAAGUGGUAGCUCGUCAAACCCGUGUAGGUUUAGGCUCAAUGCUUGGCAACUCCUACCUAACAGUUUUGUGAAAACUCAAUGUGUAUACAACUUUUUGUUCUACAAGUCAUGGGCUUGGAGUAAUUGUUAGAGAUCAUCAUGGAUAAAUUCUCUUUAGUUCUCAUAAAAGGAUUUGGCCUUAUUUAUUUGUUGUUCUUAGUGGAGCUUAAGCAAUGUUAAAGUUCAUGAGAUAGGUUUUGGGCGAGAGGUACUGGAAUCAAAUUGCUUAUCACUGAUAAAUUUUUAGAGUUAACAGCCUAGGAUGAUGAUUAUAUCAGAGUCAUUACUAUGAACAUAGCUGCCACAACAUCUCUCUUUCAAAAUCUUCAGCAUAGGUAUAUUACUAAAGGAUAUAAUAAAAUGGCUCAUAGUUUAACCAAUUUGAGAAAACUUGUAGAACAUGAAAUUUUUAUCAUAGAGCAUGUCUCAUCCUCUUUAUCUAUUAUGAUUGCUAUGAAUGUUUUCUUCUUUUUUUCCUCAUAUUAAUUCAAUUUUGAAAACUGAAUUAUAGAAUUCUAUAAGAAUCAUAGGCUAAAGUAAAAGUAUUAAAAUGAAGAAAAGAAAAAAUUUAGUUGACAUGAGAAGUACAUACACCAACAAGCUAGCCAUACUCAAUCACCAAUAGGUGCGUGUGGCUCACCUUUUGCUUCAUUGGUGGCCUGCCUUAUUGUAUUUAAAAUCUUGUUAUCAAUAUCUUUAUAAUAGUGUCGUCCUUGUGUUAAUCUGAAUUCCAAUAUGUCUUCGCAUUCUCUUUUCCUUCUCUUAUAAUCUUUUCCCUUGAAAUAUGCGCCGCUACUUCUCUUCUCAUCUCCCACUCGUCAGCUUCCUUUCUUCGGAUUUUGUUCUUCCCAUUUGACCCAAACGGAAGUGAUGUUUUGCACCUUUUGUCGUUUGGGCCUAGCCCAAAUGCAUGGCUUUUCUUCUUUUUUUUCCAUCACCGGAUGCAUCCCUUUUCACUCUGAAUGAAAUUCGGAUCAUUAUAAGUAAAUAAAUGAAGAGACGUAGACUAGUAUUUGGUGCAUCAUACUGUUUGAGCUUUGUUAAAAUAAUUAAUUCGUUAAUUCGGAUCAUUAAGACAAUGUUAAUAUCUAAUAACCUGCUUCACAUUCCAAGCAACAAGUCCUGAGUAACCAAAGUUUUCUGUACAUAAAACUUAAUAAAUUAUAUACUAAAUUUACAUUUGUUUCUACGAGAAAUGGCCUAGCUGUCCUCGCAUAAUGGAAAGUUUUCAAUCCAUCCUUAUAUUUUUUUUAUUGUACGUAUUUAGUCCCUAAAUAAUUUAUGUUUCUCCAACAUGCCCUUCUAUCUAUUCUAUCUAUUUUUUCAUCCAAACAAACAGAAAAGUGUCAAGAAUAUCCUUUAUUCUAAAUAGAAUAACUGGCUUACAUUUUGAAGGUUGUUUUCAACAAGUUCCUAUGCAUAUAAUUGUAUCAGUUAUGCUUUUAAUUCUUAGUUAAGAUAUUCAAAAGAGCGUAGUUCAUAUAAAAAUUAAACUUGUAAAUCAUGUGCAAUUCACUUGAAAAUUUUUAGAUAAUUUAAAUUACGUCACAAUUUAGGACAUUGUUUUUAUGAAAAAAAACGACCUACAAUAUCUUAAAAAUUAUGAGACAAACAUGUAUUAUUAGGAUUUAAUGUUUAUUUUAAAAACAUGUUUGUUUGUCAUGUAUUAACUAGACAUACAAAAAAGGACAACUUGUGUAUUGGUCUCGCAUUUCUAAGUUAAUAAGAGUAGAAUUGUUUGGUUUUAAAAACUAAAUUUAUAAUUCAAUUUCCUAUUUAAAAUAUAAAGAUAGAUGUGUUUCUUACUAGGUGAUCAUUUUCGGUUCGGUUUUGUUUUGUUUUUAUCAAAAAAAAAAAUCAAACCGAAAUUUAUAAAAAAAAAAACCGAAACCAGUUCAAACCGACCGGUUUCGGUCCGGUUCGGUUUUUUUAGAAGAAAAACUGGUUCAAACCGGUUUGGCAUAGGUUUUUUCAGUUUGGCUCGGUUUGACUCGGUUUUUCCGGUUUGGCUUGGUUUUUUUCCGGUUUUUUCAGUUCGGUUUCGGUUCGGUUUUUUCAGUUUCAUGCUUAUAAAACCAAACCGGUCGGUUUUUUUAAAAUUUUAAUUAGUUUUUUUUUCACGGUUCGGUUUUUUCGGUUAAUUUUUUUUUAGUUUUCUCUAUUUAAUUAGUUUUUCAAUUUUUUUCUCACUCCUACUUCUUACUCUGUUUGAAAUAAAAGUAACUAUUUACAUAAAAAAUACAUCAUGAGUAAGUCAUAUGACUUUUAUGUUAGCUUUGAUAGAAAAAUAGACGAAAUGACAUAUUAGAGAAAAAUCAUUUAUUUAUGGAUGAAAUUAACACAAUUCGAAAAUAAGUACAAAUUAAAAACUCUCCCCAUUAUACAAAGACAGAAUAGAUCAUUUCUUCUUGUUUCCAAUAAAAAAAAACAACGUCAAUAUAAAUACAUUAAUAUAGAGAUAUUGAUUCAAUGAAAAAUUAUAUAUUUUUAAUUAAUAUAUCAAUAUGAUUCAAAAAAAUGGAUUAAUAUUAUUACCCUUUAGGUAGAUGAGUUCACUUAAUGUGUAUGUAAAAUAUAUUUUACAAUAGCAAUAUAUAUAUAAAUAUAUAAAGAAAAAUUGUAGUUUAUCAUGUUAUAUUUUUGUGAUAAAUAAUAGAUUAGUUUGAUAAAAAAAAAACAAGAAGUUUAUUAUUUUUGGCAUAAUUAUUUUUAGUAUAUUGGUUCUUUAAUUGUUAAGAUUUCUAGGUUUUAAGUAGUUCUGAAAGAUUUCAUUUUCACAAUCUUUUCUUUAUUUGAUUAUUUGAUGGCUAAAUUUUUGCUAAAAUAUUUUAAAGACCUUGUUCCAUCAAAAAUUAAAAAUAUAGCUUUAUCCAAGUCAAGAACAUGUCCAGAUUUGAUCCAAAGAUUAUUGCUCGUUAUUUUGUUUAAUAUUUUUCUUUGGAUUUCUUUUCAUAAUUAGAUUAAAAUUUUUAAUUUAAUUUUUAUUUUACUAAUUAAAAUGAAUAUUUUAAUUUAGGUUUUGUUUUUUUUUUGUUUUUUGCAUGAUUCUCUCCAAAAUAAUAAAGUGUGUUGUCAUUUUGUUUUGAUAUCAAAUUUGAUGCUCAUUCUUGUUAAUUAUAUUUUUAGCAACAAUUAUAGUUCGGUUUCAUAAAAUUAAUGUUCAAUAAAAUUAAAAUACAUGCAUGAUUUUUUUUAUUUACAUUUAGAAUUUUUUAUGUCGAAAUAUUGAAAUAGCAUACAAUUUAAUUUUUUUUCUCAAAAAACUUAUCCGACCUAUGAUGGAGUGCUGGAAAAUAGUUAGUACUUUAAAUGGUUAAAGAGUGAUGCAUGUAUUAGUUCACUAAAGAGUUGCAAAAGUAGUUGUGAAGUUUCUUUCAGCUUGCAUAUAUCCAGCAUGUCUAUUAUGACUAUAUAUUAUAGGCUAUGCAUGACAUGGCCAUGCCAGCCUCUAAAUGACUCUAUCAGUCAAUCAUGCCAAGCGGUAGGCCUAGCAGAAGAGAAAUUUGUUGCCCAAAACUUGACUAACCUAGCAUGUCUAACAGGAGACUUUGACUCCAAAACUGGCAGAAGAGAGAUCGUUGGAUUGAUUUCCAUACACGAAAAACAAAUUUCUCUUAAUGGGAUCUUAAGCAAAUUCUAUUUCUAUAUGAUAACCUUUACUUGUCCAAAUCAAGCCUCGAGAAUGCAUGUACAAUUUCUAUAAGAUGCAAAUUCUAUUUCUUGACUUAUAUUUGCCUUCUGGAAUUUUCUCUACAAAUUUUCUAAUUCAAUGAACUUCCCCAAAUUUCUAUUCUGCGGUGGUAUCAAUGGACUACACAGCACUAUUCUGGGCAAAGGAUAUUAUAUUAUUGGACUCCAUGUUUAUUAUAUAAACUUGAAUUUUGUAUGGCAGCACUGCACCAUAAUUACGUGGAAAUGGGAAGAAACAAUACAAUGAGUACUGAAAGGAAAAUAAAACAGAGGAAACAUCGUUUCUGUGGGAGUGUUCCCCUUCCUAGACAUCAAUUUGAGACGCAUCGGUAGGGUAUGUAUACAUUUGACAUCAAUCACAAUUACAUUUGACUCGAAAACUGUUUUUUCGUGUAUUUUUAAGCAAAUUAAGAGGGGAGAAGGGUCCCCAGGGAUAACUAGCUUGGCUUGAUAUGUAGAGGCAUGAGGAUGACGGUAUGCAUGGUAGGACACACACGGCAUUAUGGAUCCAUGAAAGUAAGAAUUUUUAAAAAAUAAAAAAUAAAAGGGAACAUAUUCUUACUUUCUCUUGCAGCCUUAAUUAAUAUACCCUUUUCUUAAUUUUUUAAGGAAAAAUUCAACGAAAUACAGCUAGUCUUGACGACUCUUGGCUAUAACUAAAGAACGAAAUUACCAAGUUGCAUCCGUUCAAACAGAAGACCUCACAGUUGCAAUUUCAUUGGAAAACAAAGGCUCUUAGCUGAAACCAAAGAACCAGACAUCUGUAGCAAAGAAGCCACUCUCUGGCUCAUUAAAUUAAUAGAUAUAUACAAAUGAAAAUGUUGAUGGAAAAUAUUUUAUUAGUAAUUUUAGAUAAAAAUAAUAAUGGCCAAUAUUAGGUAAUUUUCGGUAAUUUUAGGUAAUUUUCGACCUCCUUGCAAAACAAGCAAAAGAGGUAUUCCUAAUGACUGAUUGACCAUACGGCAUCGAUUGACGAAAUAAAUUCGGGUUGGGCCCCAUCUACUACCAAUACUCCAUUUCGCCAUUGAGUGGAUCCCACUUACCACUCCUCGCAUAUUUUUUUAAUUUUUUUUCUUGUAUGUUUAUUCGAUGAAAAAUAACUUUUUAAAAAGUAGUUUUAUAAAAAAAUAAAGUUUGAAAAAAAAUAUUUUCUGCAAACAAACAAUAACUUGAUUUUCAAAGAAUUUUGCAUCUCAGAACUAGUUAAUUGCACUCUCUGCCCCCAUCUACAAUCGAAUUAAUAUAUUAUAUUAAAUGAAGAUAAUUUUAUUUAUUGUGCUCUUAUAUUUAAUUGCAAGAUGAUAAAGUGGAAACUCGUUUACAAAUAACUUAUUAAAUUCUAUAUAUUCUAAUUAAAAAAGAAAUUUGCUUUGAACUAAGUUAAAUAGCUACAAUAUUUAUCAAAUUAAUCAACACUAAUCCAUUAAUCUCUUAGCUGAAAAUAGAUAAAUACACUGAAAUCCACAUAGUUUCCCAUCAGUCUAUUAAUCUCCUAAAGGCUACAAAGAAAUUAAAUUGUGAAAGGUGUUCUUAACUUCUAAAACUGGCCUUCCCUGUAAUUGCUAGUAGUUCCUUGUAAGGAAGGAUGUAAUGUAGCUUUCAUGUAUCUAUCUGUUCAAUAAAAACUUCUUUGAAAUUUAAAAUUCAAACUAGCUACCCAUUGAAAUCUCAUUUAGAACCAAAAGCGAUCAAACAGGAAUAAUUGACUCAGAAUCAUGAUAACCCCAGCUGUCCAAUUUGAAAAUUCUUGGAUAAUCGAUGACUCUUUUGUUAGCCCGAGUGUGUCUUUGAUAAUGAGUUGCGUGCUUUUAUAAAUAUAUUUUUUAAUUAAAAAUAUAUUAAAAUGAUAUUUUUUUAUUUUUAUGUUAGCACUAAAAAACAAUUAAAUAUACUAAUUUAAUAUUCUUCAAGUAUAAAAUAAUUAAAAAGCAUUUUAAAAAGCAAAUGACUCAUUGAGAAUCAUAAAAAAAAAAUCAAAACAAAUUAUAAUACUCAAUUUCCAACCAACUUAAUGUUAAAAAAUAAAAAUAUUCAAUUCAAAAUACAAUAAAAAAUACCUGAGUAAAUUCAUAUUAAUCUGUCACCUUACAACCUUGUUUAUGAACCUCAUUAAAUGUAACAACUUUUUAUUUCUAAAAUUAUUCUUCAUCGCGAACCUAGUAUAUAAGACUUUUUUUAUAUUAAAUAAAAAUAUUUAAAAAAAAAUUGGCUUGUGGGAUUAAAUUAAAAAACAAUUUUAAUUUUUUAAAAGUGUGAUUAAGAAAAAAGGAGGCUUUUUUUCCAAGACAAAUAAAAAGGCUGCAGUGUUUUUAGAUCACAUUCUAGCGAGAGGUUUAUGGAUAAUUUAACAGAUCCAAUUAAACUUGCUAUUCUUUAGAGGUUAUUGAGACCGUUAUGAAUUCUUUAUCAUAUUUUGCUACCUAAUAAAUUUUGUUUAUACAAUCAGCCCAAGUUCCCAACUCUCACUUGCGAAAAUUCAAUCCUUUUCAUAUCAAAUUUUAAACAACCCAUUUAUAUGAAUGUAUACAAAAAAUACAUUGCUUGUAAUCUCUUGGGCAGAAGCAAAACUACUCAUUAUCCAAUCUAAUCUUGGGACAGAUAAAUUUUUGUGUCAACACCCAAAAAAAAAAAAAUAUAUAUAUAUAUAUGGGCGCGCCCGCGCAAGUGUUUAUAAUACAUUUUUUUGACACGGGGAAAAAAUUAUAAUAGUAAGUCAAAAUUUCUAUGUAUAUAUUUAAUUUAAUAAAUGAAGAAUAAUAUUUGUGAUAAUAAAUAAAUAAAAAAUCAUUAAUGAUAAUUAAAAACUAAAUUGAAAACUUGAGAGAUAGAAGUGUGUCAAGAUAUAUAAUUUCGUAAUAUAAGAAUUUUUUUUUAUAUCAAGAUAUAUGUCAACAAGGUGCAUAAGACCUUUUUUAUAUAUAUAUCAAGUAACAAUUUAAAAAAAAUGAAAAAAAGAAAGGAGUAGUGUGUGGGAUUGAAUUAAAAAAGCAAUCCUAAUUUUUUAAAAGUAUGAUAACAAAAAAAUAGUUUUUUUUUAAGGCAAGUAAAAAAAAUAAAUUUAAAAAAUAAAUGAAAAAAACAAUGAUAAUUUUUUUUUUAAUUUUAAGAGUUUAAAAACACAUUAAAAUAAUAAUAGGCUAGGCAUGUAUCCACUCGCCUUACCCUUAAAAAAAGGCCUGGCUUAUUAACUAGGCCCGUGAAAAGAGGUCUAGCCCAUAUGCCAGGUCUGUUUUUUCUUUCAAUAUCAGAGGGUGGACAACAUGUUGUCCUCUCUCUUGUUUUUUUAUAUUAAAUGAUAUAUGAUAUGUUAUCUGUUCUAUUAUUGUUUUUUAAAAAACAAAUAACAUCGACAACUCAGUAUCUGCUAGCUUAGUUUUCUAUGAUCAAAGGGUGCUUAAAAAAAUCAAGCUUAAGAUUUUUUUUCCUAAAAAAAUUUUUUUCAACCCAGAUUUUACCCAAAAUACCCUAAACACCUUGAUAAACUCAUCUAUGACCUCAAACAACCAAAAAAUUCAUCCAAGAAUCCGAAAUAAAAAAAACUUCCCUAGGUCAUUUCUACCAUCUUAGCAAGGAAUGAUAUGGAAUACCCGAGUAAAACUCUCCUCAUAAAAUAGAAACUGUCGACACCAAAAUCGAUUUUUUAAUGACAAGAAUCGAUGUUAACCAACAUUUUCUCUCUCUAUCAUCGAUAUCUGGCAAGUCUCUCUUCUCUCUCAUAUCAAAGACUAAAAAAUAUGAAAUAGAAAGUUUUGUACCAAAGUGAACAUUUUGCGACAACUUUGAAAUUGUCACUUAUCUUCCCUAAGUUUUUCACUUUUAUCAUUUAUCUUUUAAUCUGGCCUUUUCUAAACAAAGCAAAAAAAUUGAGUGUCAAUUUCACAAUAAAAGAAUCAUUUCGAAGAGAAAAAAAGUUCAGUUGCCAAAUUGAAAAAAAAAACAAGGAAAAAACAGUGUAAAUUUAUAUAGAAAACAUUUAUGCAUUUUAUUUUAUUUUAUUUUUUUAAUUGUAAUACAUUUUUUUUAUUUGGUUACAAUCAAACCUCAAAUCAAAUUAUAAAAAUAUACUAAAAGAGCUUAGCUUUUCAGUAUAGCAAUGAAGAAAAGCAAAGUACCUUUUCAUUUUGGUCCUCAAAAUUUUUUAGGACUCUUUUUUAAUUUCAAACUUUAUUUUAUUUUUAAUUUUAUCAUCCAACAUUGUGUUCAUUAGGUAUAAGACUUUAUAAUUUAUUUUGAUUUGUUUUGUAUAGAAUUAUGCUGGUCUUAUAACUUAGGUUGCGAGUUUUGUGGGCUAGCCGUGUCGACUUAAGUAAUUUUUUUUUCUAUUUUUUUUCAGUUUCAUCAUUUAACAUCCGAUUGAUUGAGAAUUAAAAUUUAUAUAUUUUUUUAUUUUCUUUCUGUAGAAUUAUCUCAAUCUUUCUGAUCCGGUUUUAGCAGAUUAACCCGAAUUGUCUAGAGGUAUAUUUUUGUUCUUUUUUAUUUGAUUUUUUUUCAAUUUAAUCCUUCAAAAUUUGACUGAUUGUGAAUUGAGAUUUAUAACUUUUUUUUCAUUUUUUCUAUUAGGUUAUCACGGUCUUAUGAUCCAUGUCCUAGGUUAGGGUGGUUGACUCAGGUUUUUUUUGUUAUUUUUUUAGUUGAUUUUUUUUUAAAUUUCAUCCUUUAAUAUUAGGUUGAUUGGAAAUUAAACUUUCUAAUUUAUUUUGAUUUGCAUUCUGUGAGGUUAUCCUGGUCUCAUAACUCAGGUCACAAGUUUGGUCAGUUGACUUUGGUUGACUAGAGUGAUUUUUUGUGUUCUUUUUUAGUUGUUUUUUUUUAUUUCACCCUUCAAUAUUGGAUUAAUAGGAAUUGAGUUUUAUAAUUUGUUUCAAUUUUUUUUCUAUAGGGUUAUCUCAAUCUUAUGACUCAUGUUUGAUAGAUUAACCCAAGUUGACUUGACUUAUUUUUUUAAUUGAAUUUUGUUUUUAAUUUCAUCACUUAACAUUGGAUUGAUUGAGAAUUGAGUUUAAUAUUUUUUUUGUUAUUUUCUUUCUAUAAGAUUAUCAUAGUCUCAUGAUCUAGAUAGAGAAUUUGAUAGAUUAACCCAAAUUGAUCUGAAUCGAUAUAAUAUGUUGUAAUUUUAAUAUUUUUUGAAAAAGGAUGUUAUCUUGAUUUUUUCAAGUCAAGCUAUAUUUUUAUUGAUCGUUCAAUAUUUUUUUGAAUCUAUUAAGUUAAUGAAAUUAUAUCAUAUCAAUUUUUAUAGUUUUUUUUAUUAAAAAUUAUAUUAAAAAUACUAGGAUAUUUUUCACAUUAAAAAAGAUUAAUUUGACUGACAACAUAGCGUGUGCAAUGAUAUAAUAAUAUAGAUAUUGGAAGGAAAUGUCAAAUUGAGAAAUCAGUCAAUCACAUGGCUGCAUAAUUCCCCCACACUUUGCUAUUUAAGAGGGCGUUUGGCAUUGCUGUUGGAAAGUACUUUUCAAAAAAUUUGAAUUUUUUUUUUUUUUUGCUUUGAAGUAAUAUGUUUUUGAUGUUUUCAAAACAUCUUGAUGUGCUGAUCUCAAAAAUGAUUUUUAAAAAAUAAAAAAAUAUUGUUGGCAUACUUUUCUGAGUGAAAAGCACUUUGAAAAGCAACCACAACCACACUCCCAAACACCCUAAGUCCAGCGAAGAAAAAUGCUGGCCAAUUCAAUACCUCAUACACGGCCACACCUACUUCAGUGGCAUUUAAUCUUACCAUUCCAGAAUGAUUCGAUUACUUUUUUUUAUUGUUCAUUUGUUUUUUUCACAGUCGAGUAUUUAGAUAUGUUUUAAUAGAAAAUCUAUAUUUUAAUUCAUUAAAUAAAAAUCAUGUAAUUAUAUAAAAAUAAUGAUAUUAUUAACAAGAAAAAUACAUUUUCAAUGUGGACUCGCUCUUCACAAGAUAACAAUAAUCAUUAUUCAUAAAUUUUAGGAAUUUAAUGUUAUCAUCAUGCCAACAAGGGGAUCAUUGUCCAUUCUUGCUAUAAGUUUGAACUUUUGAUAAUCUUUCAGCUUCUUGUUCAAGAUAGUUUUUUUUUUCAACUAUAACAGCUUAGACCCUUAUAAAAUUCCUAUAGGAUGACCAUUUGCUGCCCAAUGAUCUUAGAAUUCAAGAUGUCACAUGUUAGGCUUGUCAUAGUGAGAAUAUACAAGGUACAACCUAGUAGGUAGGUUCUACUCGUUAGGUGCAUCAAAAAGUAGGUUACUAUUUAGUUUCAAAAGAUCUCUCGCGUGCUUAGUGAUUGUCCUUGAAAUGUCAAUAUAAAUAAAUGUGAAGAUAAAGACCUUGAAUAAUAUCAAAUUCGUCAAAUUGACUUAUAAAAUUCCUAUAGGAUGACCAUUUGCUGCCCAAUGAUCUUAGAAUUCAAGAUGUCACAUGUUAGGCUUGUCAUAGUGAGAUUAUACAAGGUACAACCUAGUAGGUAGGUUCUACUCGUUAGGUGCAUCAAAGAGUAGGUUACUAUCUAGUUUCAAAAGAUCUCUCGUUGAAAUGUCAAUAUAAGGCUUACAAUAAAUGUGAAGAUAAAGACCUUGAAUAAUAUCAAAUUUGUCAAAUUGACUUUUAAAUUUAUAAUUCUCUCCUUAUUGGUUCCUGAACCUUUAAUUUGUAUUGUCUUUACUAAAUUUCCAAAUUAUUUUUCAUUUAUUUUUUUAAUAUGUUUUUGAAAAUUCAAAAAUUAGGUUAGUACACUCUAUACAAGGUAUCUUAGUGAUCUUAAGUCUAAGAAUCAUUUAAACAACUAUCACAUGAGUCUUUCUAUAGACAUAUGUAAUCUUUCUAUAUGAAAUUCUUAUAUAGGUUGGUUCAGUAUAUAUGUCGUCAUGUGAUAAGUACGUAUAAUUUUUACUUAACCAUAUAUGUUUUUCAUGAUAAUUUUUAAUUUGAAUGAAAUAAAAUUAAUAUUUUAAAACUUGAUUAUCACAAAUAUAAUAAUAUUAAGAUGAUAAUUAUAAAAUCAUGAUUUUGAUUAUUUUUUUACGAAAAAUGGUUGUAACAUUGAUGUAUUUUUUAAUCAAAAAAUCUGUUUUUAACUUUUAAAAAAUACAUUUUAUAAUUCCACAUUGAAAAAUAAAAAAUAAAAGAAAGAAAAAAGAAGAAAAAAGAAAAUAGUUUUCUUUCACUCACGUAAGUAUUUGAAAAAUGAGAAAUGCAUAGAAAAGGGAAAGAGAAGUUACUAUCGCUGACGCAUUUUGCCCGCCCAAAACCCAAAGUGGAAGGCAACCAUGACUGUUUUUAUGGGCUAUGACAUUGGCAAGCCUACUUGUUCCUUGCUUUCCCACUAUUGCCCAACCUGUGGACCAAAAUGAUAGUGAAAUCUGCUUCACAGAUCUUUUCUUACAAAUAAUUUUCAGACACAGAAAAUAGUGGAGUCCGUGGUCGAACUUCGUACGGUUGGACCACCAAGUUAUAUUCUUACAAUUUAAUUCCUGACUAGUCCGAGCUUGGACCAACUAAUCUUUCAACUUAUUUGACUAAAAUCUUUCCACAUAAAAUCUAAAGAAGACAGAUAUUGAGAUUGAUAAGUAAUACCAACUUCGAAGAGAGAAAAUGAUAGCUCCUCCUUUCUGGACACCGAUCGUUUCCUUUUCAAUUCAGUAGUUCAACCAAAGCCAUUAGCAUCAUGAAAGUAGAGUGUACCUUAAGAGACUUUCCUUCCGCCAAUGGAAAUAAAACUAAGGCAUGCUGAGUGCAAGCAUGGUCUGAUCUUGAAAAGAAGCAUAAAAAUAAUGAAGUUCAAAAUAAAGGGAGAGGAGCCGAAGUGACUGCAAAACAAGGGGAACUUUUCUACUCGACAGGUGAAAAAAGGGGAGCCCGCCGAGACAGAAACUCGUGGAAUUCUCUGUCAUUUAAUUUGUCUGUUCACGCAAGACACGUCAUUUUCCCUCAUCUCUUGAGCUUUUGUUUACUGGUUUGCACAGGCAAAAGAUUAUUAAAGACAUGAAAAGGAGGUGGGUGGGUGGUGGGUCGGUGGGGUUUAGUCCCUCAGUACGAUUGACUGUACGGCAUUUUAUGGAGCUGCUGACAUGGCUCAUAGCUUGGUUGUGGACCUUACUCUCAUUGUUCCUUCCAUUAACGCACCAUGAUUUCUCUAUUAGUUUUAUCUAAUGGAUGGAAACACUUGGAUUACAAAUCAAGAAAAAUAUAUUUUAUAAUUUUGAAGAGUAUACCUUAGUUCUUAAAUUUAUUUUUUAAAAGUUAUUAAUUCAAGUUUUAUAAAUUUUAAAGUCAUUAAAAGCUUAUAUAAUUAUUAAAUUCAAGACCCAUAAAAUUAAUUGUCAUGCUUAUCUACUUCUCAUGUAUUUCAUGCAAUUACACUAUUAAAUUGCUCGAUAAAAAUCACUAAACAAAAUCAACCAAUGGAUCCAAUGCCACAAUAAUAACUUUAAUUUUAUGUUAAGGAAUUUGAGAUAUGAUAAUGAUUAUUUUUUAUUUUUAAAUAUUAUUUUUAAUAUCGAUAUAUUUAAAUAAUUCAAAAAUAUAUAUAUAAAUUAUUUUAAACCAAAAUUUAUUUUAAAUUUUCAUUUGGAAACACAAUUUUAAUUUACACAAUUUUUUUCCAACUAUAUAUCAACUGAUUUGACAGGAGUUAUUUCAUGACUAGCUAAGGGUGUAAAAAGAUUAUCUAAUUUACUCCUGUUUUUUUUUUUAAGUUUUUUUGUUUAUUUCGUACAGGAGUUAGAAAGGACCAUGUUGCUUUGUUUUGCAAGGAAAUUGAAUUCAUGUUAUUUUCAUGCAUAACCUAACCAGAAAAAUCAUUCUUUUAAGACAAGAAAAGAGAUGAGGUAAGCAUUGGGUUAUAUUUUAGAAUUCUAAAAUAUAAUCAAAUCCCUUUGAAAUUAAGUAAAAAUCCAAAUCCAGCACUUGAAAAGAUGUAAUUAAGAAUAAUAAUAAAUAAAUAAAACCCUCCUAAAAACCAAAGAAUACUUAUAACUAACCCUUUGACAUUCCAUUAACAAUCCAAAGGUUACUGUAUAUAUGCACAGUCAAAUUGUUGCACUAGAAAUUAUUCGGUUCUACUUGAGCAAACUUCUUCACGUAGUUGCACAUAAAUAAAUAAGAAAUGAUAGAAAAAAGAAAAAGAAAAAAAAAACCCAUAAAUAAAUGGGAGUACAUAUAUACUCAAAAUAAUUUUAAUAGAGCUAUAUUUGCUAUAGCCCACUGUUCCUAUUGGAACUACCUUCAUUUCGAACUUUUCUGUUUUUUAAAGAAAAAGGGUGAAUUUACAAAUAAAAAUAAAAUAUGAAUAUUCGUAUUUUAUAUCUUUCUUUGACAUUAAGUAUCUCCAUUGUAUUAAUUAAGAGAAUAAGCUAGUCAAUUAAAGCUUAUAAUUAAUAUGAACGUUUUCAUCAAUUGAUCUAGAUAAAACAAUAAGCAAUAAAUAUAUCCUAAGAAAUUUUCACUUAAAAUUAUUAAUUUAAUUUUUUUUUAAGUUUAUCCCUCAAGAUUUUAUUAUGAUAUAUUUUUUUAUCUACUCACAUGAUAUAUUUAUUAUUUCGUAAGUUUUUUUUUUAUACAUAGUAAUUAAAGAUAUAAUUGGACAGUGGUUGGCUUAUUACAAGGGUGACAUAUACACAUGUCAUCGGUUGUUUGUCCCCGUGAGAAGGGAUUUGUUUUUACUUUAAGUUUUUCAAUAUUUUUUGAGAUUGUGAAAAGAUAGAGAACGGAAAAUUGUGGCCUAACCUCCAAUUAUGUGCUUAAGACAAUAAGAAAAUUAAUAUGGAAACUUGCCGAACAAAAAAACAUUCAUUAAUUUCAUAAAUCAACGCACCAAACCAUAACAUAUAUCCUAGGCCAGUCCGUCCAGUCAUGGAAAUGCUGACAUUCUAACCUCAGGAAUUCGUAGGUUUCUUCGCAACUUCAUUUUUUUUGUCAUGUAAUAAAAGUUGGUUUUUUAAAAUAUUUUUUUAUUUUUAAUAUCAGCAUAUAAAAACCAUUAAAAAACUCUAAAAAAUAUAUCAAUUUUAAUUUUUUUAAGCUAAAUAUAUUUUAAAAAUGCAACAUGAUUCCACAAGAAAAACAAACGGUGCCUUAUAAAUCAACCCCGUCUAACACUCAAUUUGACUGCUGUGGGAGCAAUCAUGUGGUUGAGGACACACGGCUAUACCAUACGCGGUUUGGAGUAGUGUGAAAAUGAAAUUUUAAAAUCGAUGAGUGAAUAGACUUUAACACUAAUUAAUUAAUGAUUUUUAUGUAAACCAUACGUGAAAAUCAACACCUAAGAUUUUUCUUGUGAAUAUUAAAAAAAAAAGAAAAUCAUACAAGAAAUUAAAAGAAUAAUCAGAUGACUAUAAAUAUAUAUUUUUUACUUGUGCUGUGUGAACCCACAAGUCCUGUUUUAUAUAUAUAGUAAUGUCUUAAUCGAAUAUUCUUGUAAAAUACUAAAUGAUAAAUAAUUUUAGUCGUUAUUAAAUUAAUAAUCAUUAUAGAGAUUAGUUGGAUGAUCAAAAGGUAUUGGAUAUAUUAUUAUUCGCUACAUACAAAAAAACACAAAUUUUAAUGCGAUCUUCACGUUCCUUUUAGUACCAGAGAUUGCGUGUAAUAUAAUGGUUUUUAUAUAGUUUAUUACGAUCAAACAUUUUAAUAUCCAAAGGGUAUUCGAUACGUAAGAGUCUUAGGAUUACGACUAUGCAAGAUUUUUAACUUUGAUUCACAAAUAAUUAAAUGAUGUAUUAUAAGAAAAACGAGAUUGUGAAUUAAUGUAAGUAAUAUAUUUUUUUAAUGAAUCGGGAAAACACCAGAAGGCCGAUGUUUCCCUUAACAUGUGGGCAAGAGAUUUAAUUGAAUAAUUAUGUUAUUAUUAUUUUUUAUUAACGUGGAUGUACAGAUCAGUUUGUGCAUACCUCAAUUAAUUUUACGAAUCCUAAAGUUAACGACCAUGUAAACUUUUAGUGAUUCUGAAGAGACUAGUUCGAACUCGUGAUUAUUGAUAAGUAAAUCUAAAACUUGAUUAGUUGAAGUAUUUCAAGGGUUAUAAUUAUGUUAUUUUAAUUAAAUAAUGUGAUGAUAUAUCAAAUAUGACAGCUGAUAAGUAAAACCAAAGGGUGUGCCAUGGAAUCUUCUAGCUUAUUUCCUUUAUUCCAUGCAAGUUCUCUUGGGUAUUCUAUCUUCGUGUCUUUUCAAGACUAAAUUGGGUGUACUUGUAUGGAAAAGAAGAGUACUUCCAGAAGGGGUGGACGCAACCUGCUUGUCCGAACAUACCCAAGUCAAAAGCUUGGUUAGAAACAGACUUUUAUCGAAAUAAGAAAAAUUAAUUGUCAAAUCCACCGCGCAACUUGGCAGAGCUUUACGUUCGACCAAAGACUUGGAAGAGAUGCCAUGGAUUAUAUAUGGAAUUCUUAGAUGAAAUUAAAAUUAUAUUACAUUCUCAAUAGUAAUCAAUUGACCUAAGAGUAGCAUCUUGUUCUCUUUUAUUCUGUUUUUUCCCUCAAAUUUAUGAUUUUUUACCGUAUUUCUUACUCUCUUUUUUAGUUUGUUAAGAAAUCUGAUGAGUAUUGAUACAAAUUUUCUAAACUCAUAUUAUGCAUAGACUUAAUUUUACCAUGUUAAAAAAAAAAUUAUAAUUAUACUUACUUCAACAAAAAUUAUCCAAUCUAAUACUGCAAGAUUUAUUAUAUCUAAAACAUUUAUCGUCUUUGAAUUUUGAAUUUCAAUUUCAUAACUCUUCAAUUUUUUUAAUAAAAUCAAUGAUAAUAAUGCAUUUUGCAAGCUCGUGUUAUCCCUGCAUUACAAGACUAAAUCUUUGAAGUUGUAUUAAGUAGAAAGAAAAACAAUUCAAUAUUUUUUAAACCUUCAAUAAUUUUUGGAUAAUCUGGACAAUUAUCAAGCAAGAAAACUUUUCUACCAUCUAUUUUUCUAUUGGAUUUUUGAAUAUAGUUUUGAAAUAAAAUCUUAAUCAUAUAUUAUCAUUUCUUGGCAUUUUUCUAUUGGAUUUUUGAAUAUAGUUUUGAAAUAAAAUCUUAAUCAUAUAUUAUCAUUUCUUGGCAUGAUAUUCACAAUUAAUUUUGCUUAAGUUCACAUUCUUGAAGCAUUGUGAUUUAGCAUACUUGCAAUUGAACCAUAAAGGAAUUUUAUCAUAACCAUCUUCAUUAUAGCAAAUAACAAUGAUAAUUUAGUUAUUCAUUAUCUUGUUUCUUACCUAUAAGUUGUUUUGUUUCAGAAGAAUGAUAUGUUUAUAGCCUAUAAAACAUUCAUGUUUCAUCCAUAUUAAUAAUAUCUUUAAUGGAAAUUGAUUUAGUUUAUCUUUUAUGGACUGCAAAUUACUCUUCAUGAGUUCUAUAUUAACUGAUCUGCUUUCUUUAAAAUGACGAUACAUCUUGAUGCCAUAUUUUUAUUUGAAAUACUUGAGCCAAUCUUGAGAAAAUAGAAAUUUACGUAUCUAUAGAGUACAUCUUUUUAGAAACUCAUUUUCCUUCUUCGAUUAGUUCUCUGGGCAUAUACAUAUAUUCUUUGUAUUGAACAAACCACUCAUAGAAAAUCUUCUCUAGCUCCAAGAAUUUUUUGAUUUUAUGUUGUUUGACAUCAACUUUAUCAAUAUUGGCUAAUAGAUACUCUGAAGGCUUCUUGAUUUUAUUUGAUAUUAUAUCUUGAUUUCCAAAAUAAACUUUUUUUAACACCCAUUAUUGUAAUUGCUUUUGAAUUUAAAUUGGAUUUUCUAUAUUUUACUCACACGAUGCUUUACGCCUUUCAUCCAUCAUUGUUGAUGUCCUUACACCUUAGAUAUAGGAAACUAUUUUAUUUAGUUUUAUUGUUUGUGAUACUAAUGUUCUUUUUAUUGAUGUUUUUGCUUGACUUCGUGUUCAUGAAGUAUAUUAAUUAAGUAUACAAUGAAUGUAAUUUAAGUUUCUUACAAAAAUAGAUAGUUACAUAACUUCUAUUUAAUAAGAGUAAUUGCAUUCAUGAAUUUGUUUUUGUUAAACAAAUACUUAGAAUAAUGACAAUUCAUAAUUUGGUAAUCGGUAAUAUUCGUAUAAUCACAUUAUUGAAUACAUGUAUUAAGUUCAAUAUUUUUUUUUAAAUACAUUUAAAAAUUAAUUAAUUAUUAAUUAAUAUAUAAAAUGAUGAUUUAUCAUUUAAAUAAUAUCUUGAUCAAUUUAAAAUUUUAAUGGUUCAAAGGGUUUCAGUAUAUAAAAGUUUAAUUGUACAUCACCUACAAUCCAUUUAAGAUUGUAAAUCCACUCUUUUAGGCAAGGUUAAGGCUAACGAAUACUCAAAUGAAACUUCUCUUAUCAAAUAGAACCCGUUAACACCAAGAUUAACAUUUUUCAUGGUCAGAAUUAGCGCCAACGAUAAUUUUCUUUAUGCUGAACCAGAAUCUGACGACUUUCUCUCUUUUUUCUUAAACUAAGGAAUUGAAAAGUAAAGAAAGUGAAAUAUUGGAAACAAAAAGGACUAUAAUUGUAUCAAUUAGAAAGUAGGAGGAGCAAAGUUAACUUUUAGCAUCAAAUUUGAAACCGCUACUUAGUUUCCCUGCCUUUUCACUUUAGUCCUUUGAAUUUGAAUCUUUUCAUUCCUCAACAAAUUAGAAGUAAUUAGUCAUCAAUUUGGCCACAUAAUGAUCCAAUCGAAAAGAAAAAAGUUUGAUGACCAAAAUAAUAAUAAAAAUAUUAUGAAAUUCCAAAUUAAUUCGUGAUUGUGUGCACAAUAUUUCUUGCAAAAGAAAACCUUUACCUUUUUUAGUUUUUCCUAUAAUGGAUCAAAAUAUGCAAUUAUUGGGACUAUUGAAAAUAUAUGAUCUAGCAACUAGAUAUGGUAACCUAGAAAUGAUUUAACAUUAACACUAUUUCUGUUGCAACACUCACGUUUUCUUCAACAAUCAUAUUUGUAGCCUCGAAAUCCACGAUUUCUUUGGUGCCUAAUAAAUUCCUUCACCUUUUGUUUUCUUUGUUAAAAACCAGUCUCUUUAAUUCCUAAAUAUCCCAGUAAUUGACGCCUAACUAGCAAAAACAAGCAAGACUUUUGCGCAAUGAUAAUCCCAGCCACGCAAAUAACAUGGUUGCGACGAAAAGCAGUAUAAAAAGAGAAGUUGAUUAUCCUUCUUGGACUCUCUCAACUACACCUAACACACACACACACACAUAUUACAAUGAUUAAAGCUUAAUUAAUUAGUGAUCAUGAAAAGACACUCUAAAUCUUUUUGAUUAAGCGGCUCGUAUAGUUUAGGGUGUCUUUUCAUGAUCACUAAGCUUUAAUCAUUGUAAUGAACAAUUUACUCCCUCGGCAUAUAUACAUUUAGAAACCAUUCAAAAUCACAUUUGCCGACAUAUCGACUACUUCCCUUAUAAUUAAAAACCCUAAGCGAGCAGGUGAUGAUGAUACCUGGUGAAAAUGAGAUUUAAAUCAUAAUAGUCAACUUUCUAGCAUAGCUGAGAGUUAGAGACUGCAAACCUAGUAAGUAACCGUUAAAGGAUGUUUUCCUAGGCUUCCCUUCUCGAUUCCCUCCUCCUCGAUCCCAUAUCUAUUGCAAAUUUGUUUGACUCGUUAAUUCAUUUUCAACUUCCAUUGAUGAUCGAGAUUAAAUUCGUCAAACCUUACUAUUUUUUUAGCAGCUCUAACUAUAAUUUAUAAUUCAUACACGCACCUAUGAAACAAUAUCAAAAUCUUGUUGGUUCACGAGAAAUUCUAAUUUUACUGUAUUUCACCUGUCUGAAAAGUAUAUUAUAAAUUAUUUUUAUAGGUUUAUACCAUGCAUCAAAAUCUUUGGGGGUAUCAAUUCGAUAAAGAAAAUCUCGGUAUGCUUCUCUUUUUCGUAAAGUUUAUAAACAUGAAACCAAACCCCGAAGAAGAAAUUAACGAUAUUAAUUAAUCUAUGCUAACUUCCUUGUACAAAACUCAGAAAAAAGAGACAAAAAACCAGUGGCCAUAUUUGUGGUUGCAUGCACAAACAUGAGGACAUGAGUAAUUGGAUCCCAACUUUUUACCUCAAAAGAAAGAAACAUGAAAUCACAUCUUUUUAUCCAUCUCCCAUAGAGGGCACAAACCCUUAUCAGCUCCCAAACUCUGUAAGGAAAGCAAACGACACACAAUAAAGAUGGAUUUCAAUCGGGAGGCGUGUGUAACACGGAAUAAAGAUAUGAAUAAUAAAGAAGUUUAAAAAGGCAAAGACGUUUUUAUUUAUUUAUUUAUAUAAAGAAGAGAGGAAUCAGAGUCACGGAGCUGUACUGCAACGGAUUACGGACAUGACUCCCGUCCGGUAAUUGCGCAAUUGCAAAUCACUUUCAUUUUGUCCCUUCUCCUUCCUCUUUUUCUCUCUCCCUUUCCCUUUCUGUGUUUUACUUUUCCGCCUUCACCUCAUGAUUAUCCAAGUUAAUUACUGGAGUAAUGUUUAAUUAGUCCCUUUAAAUCUUCUUCUCAUUAGGAGGUGUUUUAUAAAUGAAAGUAGUUAAUUUUUUUAUUUAAAAAUAUAUUAAAAUAAUAUCUAUUUUUUAAAAAAAAACAUUUACUAUACUAAAAAGUUUGUAGAAAAAAACAAGGCAUCAAAUUAAUCAAGAAUGAUACAUGUUGAACCUUAAGGUAAAAAUGAAACGUCAUCAUUUUUUUUACUUUGUUUUAAUUAUUAUUUUUUUCAUUGUAAUUCUCUCGGUAAAUAUCGAGGGAAUAUUUCCGUCGGUAAAAUCCAUUGAUAAUGUACCAACGAAAAUAUUUUCUUGAUAUUUCUGUUUGUAUUUAUCAAUUUUUUAACGGUGCUUAUUAAAAUUAAAAUGGAAAAUGGUGGGUGCUAUAAGAAUGAUGAACAUUGUUUUUACUUAAUGAUGAGGAGUCAGUAAUAUGCAAGUAUAACCGUGGUAAAAGCACAAAUGUUUGGUCAACAGUGCUUGAGUUUGAGUUGGAAAAAAAUUUGGAGUUGAAACAUCAAUCAACAUUUGUGAUGAUCAAAGUUUAGAUGGAAGAAUUGACUACAACAAUAGCAUUGGAAAUUUAAUUUUAUUCAUAGCAAAAACAAAGAUUCAUCAUCGAGAACGCCUUGGGUCGUACGUUUGGUUGGUGUAUGUGAUAAAAACAAAAACUUUGUUUCUGUGGCUACAUAAACAUCAUAUGGGUCUAGUUUAAUUAAUUGAGGAAUAUCAGUAGGUUAAUUUCUCUUAUUAAUAUUGGCCAAUUGGAAAAUUAAGAAAAAUCAAGAGAGAGAGGAUGCGACUAUGAAGAAAAAUCAAGAGAGAGAGGAUGCGACUAUGAAGUGGAUUAAGCUUCUAAUUUUCAUGAUUACUAGUGUGUGUUUGAUAUUAUAUUGUAAGAUGUUUUAAAAUAGUACUGAGUUGUUUUUUUUUUAAUUUUUGAUAUCAAUAUAUUAAAAAUAUCAAAAAAUAUUAAUAAAAAAUUAAUUUUAUAUAUUUUUAAGACAAAUACACUUUUAAAAUGUUAGAGAAUAAUAUAAAUUAUAUAUUGGAAUCUCAUCUAACAGUUUAAACUUUUGAGUUGAAAAGUGAAUUAAGAAACUUAUUGGCAAUAUCUAUGUUACUAUUUUGGAGUACAAUAGGUUGGAGGCAAUAUCAACCAGAAUCAUCCAUGAAUAUUUGGCUGGCUUCUAAGGUUAUAUAAGGAUGAUCGCCCUUUCCCUCUCUUGGACAGUCCACUUCUAAUUAAUUCCACACUUGGCGCGAGCAUGAUAAAAAGUACAUGGCAUGAAGAUUAGUGGCAUCGCUCAAGUUGAGAAAUGGAUGACGAUUUUUUUGUUUUGUUUCUUUUUUUUUUUAGAGUAUUUAAAGAAUAAAGUCGUGGGUUCUAGCACUCCACUAAUAAUUUAGAAUAAUUAUAAAUAGAAUGUUGAUAUAUAUAUAUAUAUAUAUAUAUAUAUAUAUAUAUAUAUAUUAACAAUUUAAAAAUAUAAAAUAAUAAUUUUAUUUAAAAAAUAAAUUUUAAAACUUUUCAAAAACACAAUUUAAUUACAACCCCAAACAGAGAAUAUAUCUUUCUAUCCCAAACAUAACAAGACUACGGAACAUUAGGAAACUGUUUGGGAACACGGUACAAACCGUAUUUUUUAAAAAAUUAAUUAUUUUUUGUUAAAAUUUAAUAUGGUUUGUAUGUUUUGGAUCGUUUUGAUGUGCUGAUAUCAAAAAUAAUUUUUAAAAAAUAAAAAAAUAUUAUUAUAAUUUUUAAAAAAUAAAAAAAUAUUAUUAACAUGUAUUUUAUUAUAAAAAUUUAUUUAAAAAGUAACCAUGUUAAAUAUAUAUAAAAAGAAAAAUGUAAAACCCCAAUUUACCAUGACAGGCAAGCAGUGACAACAAAUAAGUACAGAAAACAGAACUUAAAAAAAAUAUUAUUAUAACAAAUCUCUCUUUCUUUAUUCAGUAAUUGUACCUUGCAAGUACUCCUACCUGUACCCCUAUCCUUCUCUCUCCCUUCUAUCAUAACUCUACCCUUUUCUUUUCCUCUCUCUCUAUAUAUUCCUCUCCUCCUUCACCUCUCCCUACCCAACCCCCCGCCUCUCCUCUCUCUCAAGAACUCCCCAAUCUUCAAGCCUUCCAUAUUUCCUUUUACCAAUAACAAGAAAAGCCCACUUGCUCUUAACUAUCCCACUCCCCAUCUUGCAUAGAUUCUCUUAAUAUUUUCUUAACGUCGUCGACCCCAUUUGGAUCGAUCUUUUUAGAAUGAAGCAGCUAAUUCGCCGUCUCUCACGGGUGGCAGACUCUUCUCAAUACAGUCUUCUGCGCUCGAACUCUCAAUCCACCACGACUGCUUCUCGACGGAGAUCCGGCGGGUCGAGGUCGGCGCGCCGGCGAGGAUCCGACAAGCCGGUGCCGGAGGGUCAUGUGCCGGUGUAUGUCGGCGAUGAGAUGGAGCGGUUUACGGUGAGUGCUGAGCUCUUGAACCAUCCGGUUUUUAUAUGGCUUCUGAACAAGUCGGCUCAAGAAUACGGGUACGAGCAGAAAGGAGUGCUGAGAAUUCCUUGUCACGUGCUGGUUUUUGAACGAGUUAUGGAAUCUCUGAGACUCGGUCUUGAGUCAAGUGACCUUGAGGAUGUACUUGGCUCUUUGUUCACUUCUGAGGAUUGUUUGUGAAUUUAAUUACACGGUGGUGAUCAGUUUAUAUAUAUAUAUAUAUCUGGGGAGGUUUUUGUAGAUCCUUGAAAUGUAUGGAGUGAUGUUGGAAAUAUCAAGAGAUCGUUUUGCGGGUUUUUUUCCGUGUAAAUAUACCUUUUUCGAUCUUUUGUGGUGAUGAAGAAGAAGAUUGCAGUGAAGGGAGAAGGUGAAGCAGUAGAGAUAAAUUUUAGGUUUUAUUUUUCUUUUGAAUGUUACCAGAUGUAAAAACAGGGACUGAAACAGCAAUGGAAAAAAAAUAGAGAAUUACUUGUUUUUUUUCUUCUCUUAACCAAUUUAAUUAUGUUAUGUUUGGUUCUUGGGAAAAUAUGGGAAAUUAAUAGAAUGGAUAUAUAUAAUGAAAUGGAGGAAAUGAAAGAGUGCAUUUUGAAAUUUAGUAUAAGAAGCCACAGUUUGGAUCUUGGAACCAUUAGAGAUGGAUCCCUUUGCUCAAUUAUUUUCUACAUUUAAUUUUUUUAUGUAUUUUUUCUAUUUUUUUAUAUAAAUCUUUAGGCACAUUUAUGCUUUGUGCUAGUGCUCCUUUUGUUGCUUUGUAUAAAAGAUAGGGAAAUUUGAUAUGGUUUUGGGUUGUAUAUCAAAUUUUAAAUUUAUUUUUUAAAAUAAUUUUUACUUGAAAAUAUAUUAAAAUAAUUUUUAUUUUAUUUUUUAAAAUUUAUUUUUAAUAUAGCAUACUAAUGAAGUGUUUCUCUAGUGGUUAAGACACUGCUAUAUCCCUGCAAGGGUGAUAACACAAAUUCGAUCCUUAGAAAACGUACUUAUUGGGAGGGGCAGCCAUAAACCCCAAACGAGACUAGUCUCACCCUUUAAAAUGAUGUGAGAUACCCGGGUAAGAACAAAAAAAAUAUCAAAACAAUUGAUCAAAAACAUAAAUAAAAAUUAAUUUAAAACUAAAAAAAAUAAAUAAAAAAUUCAAAAACACAAUUAAACCACAGUUAUAAAUCUUGCACACAACAGUUAUCUUAUGUCAUUCAAUGUUUUAUCAUAUCGUUAAAUAUAGUACUAUAUGAUCAAUUUCAUAUCAAGGAUUAACUCUAUAUUUGAUUAAAGAAAAAAAAACACUGAAAUUUGAAUUUAAAUUUAAAUUUAAUUUGAAUGUGCACUUAAUUUCGUGCCACAGCAUUACCGUUUGGAAAAGCUCUCGUCAUCUCGGUGCUCUUUGGCGGUGAGAUCUUAUUCCUGUGGCCAUUUCAGUAUCUGGCCUGGAUUAGAAUUAAUUAAUGAUUUAUAUGAGGUCAUUUCUGUAAUUUUAAGGAAUAUGGAAUAUUCUGGCAUCUACAUUGUUAAGUCGGCUGCCGUCUAUCUUGUACAAAAAUCUUUUUAGUUUUACGUGACUCUUGGGAUUUAUGUUCAACGUGUUGUUAAUUCUUUUAUUUUUUUUUAGUUUUAAAUCAUUUACAUAAAUUUCAUAACACAUAUAUACACUAUACUUUCCUAUUAUUUUCUAAACUAGUUUAUAUAUAUAUAUAUAUAUUGAAUUUUAACUAAAUCAUUUACAUUUGAGUAGAUAUAUAUAAGUAAUAAAAUAUUGCUUUUAUAUUUUUUUAAAUCAAAAUUCGAAUGAAAUUAAAUACAACUUAGUUACCAAAUCCUAGUAUAGCAGGAAAAAAAAUCAUAAAAAAAAAAGGGCAGAGAGAGAGAGAGCUUGAACGGUUUAAGCCACAAGCAGCAACAUGCGUAGAAAGAAGGGUAAGCAUGCACGUAAUCCGGCAGCUAAUCUGCCAACAAAAAUGAAAAUGAUAAAGAGAAAACUGUCAAAACGGUUUCCUUCAAACAGAACAAUCAAAUCACAUAACAUGAUCUUGAAUUUGAUUACAGUAAACCUAAGAUUUGUCUUUCUAGAUCAUCACCUAACACAACGUUGACAUGAUGAUUAUACAUAUCUUAGAUAAUCAAAGCCUCAAACAUCAGCCUCUGUGCCACCUACUAUGAUUAGGUGAGUUGCAGGUAUGCAUAUGAAUUCUCGUGCUUGCUGUUCUUAGUGCUCGAGCAGUUUUUAUAUGUACAUCUUUAUGCGUUAUAGAUCAGUAUCAUGUACCUAAGAUUUGUUGUGCUCUGUGAGAAAAAAAGAUGACUUCUAGAAAAUAUUUAAAAUAUAUAAUUUGCAUACGAACUGUUUUGAAAAUCGGCUUCCACUAGUGUAUAAGGAAAUUCUGAUCAUGUCCAUAAGAAGAUGAGUUUGAUGCAUGCAUGAUCGAUGGACAGAUAAAGAAUCAUGAAUAUCUAGGCAGUGGAAAACUAAGAGAAAUAAUUCCCGGAAAGAUUGUCACUGGUACGAUGGAAUCUCAAUGGGCAUUAUCGAGCUAAAUAUACUCAUCGCUAAUUAGGUACUUCGAUCCCCGAUGAUUAAUUUUAAUAGAAACUUGUAAAAUCAAGAUGGCUUAAUUAGUUGUGUUUUUUUUUUCUAUUAAUACUACUCCAAUACACAGUGAAUCACAUCGUUUGCUACAGUACUUUGCCACCCGAAAGCCAGUUAUACCUUCUUCUUCUUUUUUUUCAAGGAUAAAGGGAUAAUUUUACUAUUCUAAUACACAGUUAAUCACACAUUUGCUACCAUACUUUUUUAAAAAUCGUUUAGGUUUCAUUGUUAAUUCUUUCUCAAAUAAUAAUAAUAAUACUGGUUGUUUUUGCCUAUUUUAGGGCCCUCCAUAAACAAGAAAAUACAAAAUACAAAAAAAAUAAAAAAAAAUAUUAGUGAGAAGAUUAAUAUAUCAGAACGCCCAAGAAAUUAUCAAAAACUGGUUGACAAAGAUCAAAAUAUACAAGAUUGAAAAAUUUGAUAGUGUAUUUUUGACUAAUGAAGAUCCUAUUAGCCAACAUGUUUGUGUAUGAUAUUGUGACUUAUUGGGAUAAAAAGAGAUGUUUAGAAGUCCAAAAUGUCAUUUUAUAGGUUUGGAAGAGAUUGCCUUAGCCGAAGAUUUUUUGGGUUUUCUAGUCAUGUUCUUCGUGUUCUAGGGAAGAAUAUUGCUUUAGCCCCUUGAUUUGGACCAUGUUAUGUUUGGUCCAUUUCUUUGCACAUAUACCUUCUUUAUGCAUGAUUAGUAGAUAAUCCAGUGUUUAUUUGCAUCAAUAACAUGUGCUUGAUAAGUUUUAAUCCUAGAAUUUUAGUUUUGCAUCGAAAUCCAUUUUGACAAAACAUUAUGAUGUUUUAGUGAUAAACGAGUGAAUGAAUGCUAGAUUAUUGAUCCUUGCAUGAUCUUUAACAUGUAUGUGCCUUCAUUUUGAUCAAAUCUGACCAGCAACCUGGGUUCCAAAUCAGACCAUAUUUUGUUAAAACGAAGGCGCAUGCAUGUUGGAAUUCAUGCAAGAAUCAAUAAUCUAGCAUCCAAUUAUUUCAAUUUUCACUUAAACAUCAUGAUUUUGUCAAAAUAGGUUUCGGUUCAAACCCAAAACUCUAGAAUUAAAAACUAUAGAAAAGGUGUUAUUGAUGGAAAAACAACCCUAGAUUAUUUAAUAAUCAUGCAUAAGAAAGGGUUAUGUAAAAAGAAAUUGACCGAAAUUAGUCCAAAUCAAGGGUCUAAGACAAUGUUCUUUCCAAGAGCAUGAAGAACAUUGUCUAAAAACCCAAAAAAAAUACAGUUAUGAGGCAGCCACUACCAUGCCCAAAAAUGGGCUUUCUUUAUCCUAACAAGUCACAAUAUUAUACACAAACAUGCUUGAUUCCAAAAAACUAACAAAAAACAUCAAAAUAUUAAAAUCAAGCAUGAAAUACCAAAUCCAAAAACUUACAACCUAAAAAAGCCUACAUGUUCAUGCAACAUGGAUUCAAAAUUGGUUUUCUAAACCCAUUUUGUGCAUGAAUAGGCUUAACAAGCUAAGGAUAAUUAAACAAUCUUGCUUUAACAUGCAUUACUUAAGUUAAAUAAAGACUAAAACAACAUUAUAUAUAUACACACACACACACCAACUUAAACAACAACUUUAAUAUUUCAAAAACAUAAUAAAAAAAAAACUUCAAAAUAACUUCAUUAAAUAAAAAUCAAAGCGACAAAGAGGUGAAUACAAUAUUAUUUGUUGAGCAUUCAAACCACUUUUCUCUACUUAUAAACAUAAAUAUAAAACAAAAAAGCAAGCCACUAAAAACCUACUUUUGGAUCAGAAAAGUAUACCUAAAACAAUUACUCUUUCUUUCUUCUUCUUUUUCUCCCCCUUUUCUCUAAACCUGUAUUUAUAGGGUUUUGCUAGGGUAGUAAGAGGUUUUGAAUCCAUUUUUAAUCUCUUAAUCUUGAGAGAAGUGUUGUAAACCCUUGAUAAGGACCCAUUAAGAAGGUUUUAUGUGUGAACACAUGAAAAAUAGGUCAAUUUUUGCAUAAUAGUUACACUAUCAGGACUGGUUGGGUUGCCCAUUUUUGAGGUCUUAUUGGAGCAAUUCUGACGUCAUCAUCGACUGAGACCGAAAGCACACCUUUCAUUUGAAUCCAACCUUGCUCUCAAUUUAGAGGUCUGUAGCUUCAUAUUCAUGUUUUUGAAGUUGCCAACUCGAUCAGCCAGAACUGUUAAAAACAGAGGUCAAUUGACCGAAUAACGUGUCACAUAUAUUCUCUUCUUUAAGUCUAAACGAUAUGUCGUUGAGGGUAAUUGAUUUAGGAUUGGCAAAUUUUAAUUGAGCCCCUAUUCUUCCAAUUUCUUUUAAUUGCAUCUAUAAUUGCUUUUAAUCUUUUAAUUUUAUGCAAUUUCACCCUAUCAAACUCGAUUGCCAGCCUCUAAGUUGGCCGUCUUUUUUUUCUUUUGAUCAUUGGUUCUGAAUUUGUGCAUUUUGACCCUCAAUUGACUAAUAAACUUCUAAUUUCUUUAAUUUAGCCCCUGAUUUAGUCAAUUUUCGCCUCUAUAUUCACGUGCCUUUUCCAGUUUGGUCAUUGGUUUUGGUUUUCUUCUAUCAAUUCCCUAAUUGUCCAUCAUAUUUCAAUAUUUAUGCAAUUAAACUCAUGAUUUGACCAAAUUAACUCCUAAAAAUUAUAAUUCAACCCUCAGACUUUAAUUUUUUUUUCCAGUUAAAGCCUAAAUUGACUUUAAAAAUUAAUUUUUCUUGUAAUUAAGCCCUCAAUAAAUUCAAAUAAACCUUUAAAAAUUAUAAUUGAGUCCUUAAACAUCUAAUUUUGAAUUUUCCUUCUCAAAUUGAUUUUUCUUUGCCAAUAGGACCUUCAUCAGUUGAAAAUACACUGUCAAAUUUUUCAAUCUUGUAUAUUUGAUUUUUCUCAACUAGUCUUCAAUAAUUUUCUAGGUAUUCUGGUAUACUCUUUUCACUGAUAUGUUUUUUUGAUUUUCUUCCAAUAUUUUUUUAUCUUCAAAUGCUGUCAUAAAGUAUUUUUUUAGUUUUUAUUUUUCCUAGUUUUUAUUUUGUUUGUGAGGUUCCAAAAUAGAUAACAACACAGUCAAUCAUGAUUAUACCAUAAAGCCUUUUUAUUAUUUUGGUUUUUAAUUUUUGGAGGGUAUAAAAAUACUUUAUGACAGCAUUUGAAGAUCAAUAUUGCAUUAUAUUUUGAAACAGGAUGCUUUUAACUGUAUAAAUAACGUGUGUGAGUAGGUAGGGGGUCACAAACAAAAGGGUUUUGGCUAUUUAUGUGAUAAAAUGAUCGUCUUCUUCUAUUGAUUUGCAGGUUUGUUGAUGACCCCACGAGCAAAUAUGUGGCUAAUUUGAGCCUAACUUUAUCAAACAAAACAACAAUCAAUGACUAAUCAUCAAACCUAUCAUCUCAAAUUAAUUAAGAGGAGUAUUGAUUAAGCAACAAUAAUAAAAAAUAAGUUGAUCAAAGAGCCAAUCAAGCGAAUUUUGGCCUCACAUCUACGGUGUUUGAAACGGACAAACAAAUUCGAGAAUUGGCAUUAAAUUAUGGCCUUAUAAUAAGGCACCGAAUAAUUGACACCAUAGUGAAGAUCAAGAACUUUGGCAUCCUAGGCUUAGCUAGCUAGUGCAGUGUGGUGUCACAUGACAUAUCUUUUAAGACGCAAAGUAAACACAUUAAUCCUCAAUUAACAAAAGCUUUCUCUUUGAUGUAAUUACAUAAUAUUAAAUCAUGAAUUAGUUUAUCCAAAAUUCAACAAGUCAACUUAGAAUCUCGACUGAAAUAUGCGACUAACUGAUCCUUAUUUCGUAUGGUUAGGCUAGUUUGUAUUUUUUAUGUUGACGAUAAUGGUGUUAAUAAUUGUUUAAGAUAAGGUUUUUCGACCAUUUUAAUUUUGUUUAGUUGGGAUGUUGAUUAACGCCUAUAUUCUUGCUCGAUUUCUCUUAUCUCCAAUUAAUGAAGCAUAAUUUAUCUUGAUUCUCGCUUUUUUUUCAAAGUAUAAUAUUUUUUAUACUAAAACACAUGAUUUGUGACGAAUAGAAACACUUACAUAUGACUUAUUCACGGCAUGUACAACUUAAACGAUAAGGACACACAGCCAUACUUAGCUAGAAGGAAGAAGAAAAUAAGGGCGAGUGAAAGAGUCUUGAUACGACGAAUGACAGAGUGUUUUACCUAUAUAGAACUCUUCGAGUGAUUUACAGUAUGUUAAGACCAUAUCUAAACGAAUCUCUGAUGGGAAAUUUAAAUUUGUGAUCAUGAUGAAAAACAUUAUUGUAGUAGGUUAACAUAAUAUUGACGAUUAUACAACUAGUUAUCUUAGUGACGCCCAUGAAUCAUGAAAAAGAAAAGGUAUAAUUCUUUGUUGUCUCAUAGGAUCAUCUAUGAUGGCAAUGCGACAACCACAACUUUAUAUAUCUUUUAUUAUUAUUAUUAUUAUUAUUGAUCAUCAACAGCUUUGUAACUAUAUACAUAUAUUGAGCCUCUUCUAAUAAUAGAAUAACUAACCUUAAUUUUCCAUGGAUCAGCAUACGAGCACGCAUGCAUCACAGAAAAACGAAAACAUUAUACCCAAAACAUCGACAAAUUGAUCAAGCUUUUGAGCUUGAAGUUGGAGAAAUCUUUUACUAUAUAUAUAUAUAUAUAUUAUUAUAUUCAUUGCACAUAUCCCAGAGACAAGGUGUCAAAAUUCCGGAUAAAUAUGUUUAAACGUGCUUAGUUAUAGUAGAUUGCACACUUCAAAAAUGCAAUAUCCCAGAUUUUACUCUUUAAUUAUGUUAGUUCGUCAAUCAACAAGUUUCUACACUAAACAUGAUUUAUUUUGAGAUGCUCAACCACCACGUCAAAUGGGUUUUGAUCAAAUUAACAAUUUAAACAGUCAAAAACUUCAUUUUUAGUCAAUAGUUAAAUGCAAAGAAACUUGAUUACCUGCAAGCAUAUAUAUAUUAUUUUUUAAUGUACAUUUUAAUUUAUUCUAGAAAACCACUUUGAGAUUGGCUAGUAUGUGAACUCGGUUUGGCUCAUUAAAAAAAAAGGAGCUUAUUAUAUAUAUAUAAAUGCCAGGGGGGAAAAAACCCUAUAAAAAUAAGAUCCUCUGAUCUAUAGUACAGAUGCAAGAAUAUAUAAAAGCUGUAUACAGUUUUGUCAGAAAUUCCAACAUAAAUUACAAGAGAUUCGCCAACUAAGACGCGGCCUUCGUGAUUGGCUCUUACAAUGAUUAAAGCAAGUUAUACCUACACUAUAAUAUUAUAUAAAAUCGACUAUUAGAAGAUUGCUUUAAAUUAGCAAAGCCUUUGUUUUUAAUCUCUCUUCAGCAAGAAAUACACUCAUUAGCUUUUUGGCCAGCACUACGUGGAUCGGGUUUUUGUUUUUCAAACAAAGAAAAAUAUUAAAAUGUUAGGAAGUUAAAACUUUGAUGUAUAAUGAUCUAAAUAUUUCUAAAAUACUUAAAUGAUAACAUAUUGUAUUACAUAUUUUUUAAGAAAAUAAAUUAAAAUGACGACAUAUUUAAUCUAUUUGGGCCAAUAAUGACUAACUUGUGAAACGUGCGAUUUAGGAUUGUGAUAAAACCAUGAAAUUCACACUAAAAAACAAAUUAUAAAGUCAAAUUAUAAUGAACCAAAUAUUAAAAGCUAAAAGCAAUAUAUAUAUAUAUAUAUAUAUAUAUAUAUAUAUAUAUAUAUAUAUAUAUAUUAAUUUUUAAUAAAAACCAACAAAAACUGACCUAAGUAAACUUAUAUCGGUGGUUAACGCAAUACCACGAGCCAAUCCAAUUUUUUCUGCAUGUAAGAAGAACAAAGUUAAGGCAAUGCUAUGAUUUCUAAAGAAGUAAAAGAAAUUUGAGAUAUAGGUCAUUAAGACGACCAUAUUUAAUAAGUUUGAUUAAUUUAAUAACAUAAAAAACCCCUAAUUUAAUAUUAUUAAAAACCAAACAAACCUAGACAAAUCUCUUAAACCCGGGUUAAUAUUUUAAAAUCAUAACUCGUGAAAUAUCAGACACAGGAUCAAUCAAGAAGUCCAACUCCAAACUAAUUUAAUAUUUAAGGAUAAAAUUAGAAAAAAAAAAUCAAUCUAAAAAACUUGUCAAAAAAAAUAUAGCAAUAAAAAAGAAGGGAUCAAUCCUGAUAGAAAAGGAUGAGGAUGAAAUAGCAAAACCAUUAAUUUUAUAAAUCAUCCCAAAAAAAAAAAUAACAAUAUAAAGAAUGGGGAUUAAAUUUGAGAGAUAAAAAAAUUGGAGUAUGAAAUUGAAAAUAAUUUCUAAUUUGAAAUAAUUUUGUGAUGAAAAAAAAUGCAAAUAAAAAAACAUGGAUUAAAUCUUAAGAGAAAAGAAAACGAAGGGCUUCUAUGAUUUUUUUGAGGGGCAGACUGUAAAUCGAGGUGCAUGAGAGAGAAAUUAAAUGAAAAAAAGAAAAUCAAACUGGCACCAAACCAAAUGGAAUCACAAUACAUGUUCUGCCUAGUAAGGAAGAGGACAUCGAGUUGAAUUUAAUGACGAGGUGAAACAAUAGUUUUAACCACUUGAGUCAGUCACACAUGUCACCCGAAGACGACGAAGCAGCUGACGCAUGCAACGCACGAAUGAGCAACUUCUUACUUAUUUUUAAUUUUAUUUAUUAAAAAGUUUUGCAAAACGUUCACGAUCUAGUAUACAAAAUAGAAAUAAAAAGAAAACUCAUGGUUUGAUAAGCAAGCACACUAGAAAAGUGAUUUUAUUUAUCAACCAUGCAAAGCGUCCCGUAAGAGCUCGUUGUUAUGUAUUUUAUUAUUUUUCUUGAAGUUUUAAUUAUAUGUUUAUUAGUGAAACUUUUCCUCCUUGACAAUGAUUGUUGACAUGCAUAAUAUAAGAGCAGAACUCCAACAAGAAAAUAUGAUGUAUUGAGCUAAAAUAAGUGUAACUUUGCAGUAUCUUUUCUUCCCCCUCUUAGACUUUUUAGUUUAGGAUUUUUUUCUCUCGUUUCCCCUCCACCUUCAGCAUCUCUAAUGUGAUGUACCUGGUAUAUAUACUUCACAUUGUUGAUUUGAUUGUAUUUUAAUUAGAAUUUUAAUGUUUGAAAUUUAGAAAUUCCAAUGUACAUGUUUUUCAUAUCUACAUUUGUUUUAAAAAUAUUUGUGUAUAAAAUUAUAUUUAUCUUAUUGGUAUGAACUAUUUAUAUGAAUUGUGAAAUUUGUAUAAGAUGAUUUUUGGAUAUGGUGUGACUUUAUUAUGAUUAAGCAAUUGUUGGUUAGAGGAUUAUAACGAAAAAAAAAAACAAUUGCUACCUCCAACAAAUUUGUUGAUGUAAAAACUUGUCAAGAAAAAAACAGUGAUGAAAUUAUUAAUAAAAUAAAAAAAUCUAAUUAGAUAAUUUUUAAAGAUGAUUUCUAUCACCAUUAAAAUUACUAAUGGAAUUUUUAUUAUAAACCGAUAAAAUAUUACAUCAAUAUUUGGUAGUGUAUAAUUUAUUUUAAUUUUUUAUUGAUUUUUUUUCACGCGUUGAAGUAUUUAAAGUGUUGUAAAAAUUAUAAUAUGGUGUAUAAAUGAAAUCGUGUAAAGAUCGUGAGAGAAUCGAAGUAAUUUUUUCUAAAAUUAAAUAUAUGUAUAUUAUUGGUAGAAUAAAGUUGGAGUAGUUGUUUCAUAAGCGUGAUAGUACAGUACGAUGAAAUCCUUGAUUUGCGGUAAUGGAACGUGGGUGAGCAUGUAGAGUCACGUUCAAACCUUUUCCCCCUCAAUUAUGACCAUAGCUUUAAAUUAAUAUCUCAUGUACUUUUGUCUAAUUAUUUUGGAGAAAACAAGGAAUUUUUGCUCCUCUUCCUUAACACACAAGAGAAAGGCACAAAAAGAAAAAUUAUUGGCCCUUAUAUCGUGCGAAGACUAAAAUGUGAAGGUAUGAUCCGAGUCAGAAGGGAUCGGUAAAGUUUGAGAUCUUCAUUGAUUUAUUAAAAUUAACAACGGCAAUGCGGUUUUGGCUUCAGUCAUUGCUUCCUUCCCAUGUUCCUAACACAUGCUAUAGCUCCUACGAACUCACUUACAUGGGCAUCUAUCAAUAUGUGAGUUCUUCACGAGUUCACAUGUUCUAGGAACUUCUGCUUUUAAUCUCUCUCUAUCCACGAGCUUUCAACUAUGUUAUAAUAUUAAUUUGUUUAUCUUUGAAAAAGAGUCUAAAAUUAUCUCAAACCAAGAAAAUCAGAAUAUUUUAAAUAAUUAAUGCAUAGAAACGGAAGAUCCUUAAAAAAACUAGUUGGUGUUGAUAUUAUUUGUUUUUUUAAAGUAUUUUUUUAUUUAAAAAUAUAUCAAAUUUAAAAACAAUUAGUUAAGUAAAAAAUAAUUUCAAAAAAACUAGGUUAUUAAACUUUAUAGAGUCAAUAACCCAAUUUGCGAGUUAGGCGAGAUAACCCUGGUUACCCCUGUUUGCGGGUUUAGCGUGGUACUUUUUUUUCUAAUUGAACUCAAUUAUGUGAUCGUUUAUUUUUUUAUCAUAUAAUUAAAAUUUUCUUUUUCUAAUUGAACUCAAUUAUAUGAUCGUCUAUUUUUCUUUUUAUCAUAUAGCUAAAAAAAUAGUUUUGAAAAAAAAACAUGUUAUUAAAUUUUAGAAAUUCCAUGGGCCCGUUGAUGUGUAUGGCGAGAUUAACUUUUUUUCUUUUUUUAUAAAUUCAUUAUUUUCAAUUUCAUCAUUUGAUAUUAGGCUGAUUGAGAAUUGAGUUUCAUAAUUUGUUUUGUUUUGUUUUCUAUAAAGUUAUUAUAGUUGUUGUUACUGAUUUUUGGGUUCCCACACAAAAAAUAAAAAAAAUACAUAUAAAAAAAUAUUAAAAAGGAAUCCAAAAAAUAAUAGGGGUGAGAAAAGAUGCUGGAACACCCAUAAAAUGGCUAGAAAUUGGUUGAGAAAAUUCAAAAAUACAAGAAUUGAAAUUUUAUAGUAUAUUUUUAACUCGUGAAAGCCGUGUUGACAAGGAAAAUUUAAUUUGAGGAAGGAAAGUCCAAAGUCAGAUGUUUAUGGAUUCAAUUAAAUUUUAUCUAAAGUUUAAUUGAAUUUAUGGAGGGUUUGAUUGCAAGAAAAAUUGAUUUUUAAGUCAAUUUAGGCUUUUAUUAAAAGAAAUUAAAGUUCUGGGUCCAAUUAUAAUUUUGAAGAGUUGAUUUGGUCAAAUUAGGGGCUUAAUUUCAUAAUUAUUGAAGUUUGAUGGCCAAUUAGGGACUUGAUUGAAACAAUCCAAAACAAAGAACCAAACCGGAAAAGGCGCUAAAAUCAAGGGAUCCAAUUAUAAUUUAUCCGGGGGCUUGAUUACAAAAUUUCAAACAUCUAAUGACCAAAUCAGAAAUUUUCAUUUUGAAUUCAAAAAUGGCGUCGUUUCCUUAACAACUAUUUAUUGCCUUCUUCAGCAACGGUUUCAUGCAGGUGGUCGUGAGACAUUACAGCAGCAACAACGAUGGAGCAUGUCGGCUGUCAUUCCUCAGCAAACCGUUACCAAGCCAGCCGUUACUAGCACAAGGCCGUCUCUGGCCUAUAAAAGCAGGAGAAAAAAGAGAACAGGGAGAGAAAACGGAGGGGGAAGAAGACGAGACAGAGAGGAGGGAGGAGAUGACAUAGAGGAGAAAGAAGGGAGAAGGAGAAGAAGGCAGAGUGAGCAGAACAGGAGAGAAAGUGAAGAGCAGUAAAAAAAGAAAAAACAGAGAGGAGUAAUAGAGGAAAUACAGGGGCGACAGAGCGGAACAGUGGAGAAGAACUAAAGAAAAGAAAACGAGAGAAGGAGAGAACCAGGCGCAGAGAGAGGAGAUAAGAGACGGACACGAGGCGAAGACAGAAUGGAAGGGAAGCCAGACGCAGGGAGGGGCAUCAUAGCUUCUUCCCAGAAUCCCAGCGACAAGCUAGGAAGUGACUUCUCCAGCAACGGCUGUGAACCGGGUAAGCUUUUCACUCCUUCUCCUUCCAUUUAUAAUUGCUCAAAGACUGUGCAUGGAGCAGGCGUGCGUGAAUUGUUCAUGCACGCUUGCGGUUAAAAGCCAGU